rnacentral:lncRNA from 1 species
CCCUUUAAUUUAAAUAUUCCAUCAGAUUCAAUCUUAACCGUCCAAAUUCAACAAUCCAAUGUUUGUCAUAUUGCACCAUUUUAAUUAUUUAAUCUUCGAUUUAUCAGGAUUGUUAGUCAAAAGAUCUAACGGCCCAGAUCUCUUCAACCCGUUUAAACCCCUAGAGACCAACUCAAUCCCCUCAAACCCUAAUCAUUCGUCUUCCAGACUCGGUCUCCCCCUUUCCCCUUCCUCUCUCUAUUCUAUCAAACCCCAUACCCCAUCAAUCACAGAAACCUUGCACCAAAUCAUGCAAGGUUGUAAAUCAUGACUUCAAAUCAUCCUUUGUGCCUUCUAACUCCGCGAAUCUCACCGAUGUCUCCUUGUUUCAUCAUAUGAAUUCAAAAUCUCACAUUUUCUGACUUAGACUUAAAGAUGAAACUUCAAGUCUUCAAGAUCCUCUUGUGCUGCAACAAAAUCAGAGCAUGCAUGAGCAUCUCAUUAUGUUUAUUUGAAAUCAGAGGUCAAAUACACUGACCUCUGGAUUAUCGGUCUUUGUCCGAUGGUUUUCUCACCUGCAAUGACUGUCUUCCACUCAGGUAAAACUCCUAUGAUUUUCUGUUAUGAUCUUUUGAUUUUCACUCAUUUUGCUAGCAUCAUCAAUCUCUCCUUCACUCUCCACUAUCGAUUUGAAUUUUUGUUAAACCCUAAGUCUUCAAUGGCCAUUAUAAAUAGGAGACUUCAAUGCUUACACCUAACACUACCUAACACCUAAAACAGAAUAGAAAAAAAAUAGAAAGCUUAAGAGAAUAAAAUCCCUAAACUUCUCACUGAUUUUCUUUUCCUUCUCUGGCACCGAGUUAGUCCAUUGUUCGAGCUUGAGUUAGAAUUCUUAACGGUUAAACAAGAAGUUUUUGUUUGGUUUGCUACUCCGUAGAAGGUCAGUGUACACCGGCCUUCCCUUUCUUUUGAUCAUUCAUAUUGUUUUGUGCUAUAUCAUAUUUUCUUUUGUUGGUUAUUUUCAUCCAUGAUGCAUGUUAGUAGUUUGUCAUUGAUUAUUAGGUUCCGUUCUUACUUUUUAUCAUUAUUGAUUGAGUUAAUCAUCUCCUUAUAAUUUGUGUUAGUAAGGCUGGUUAAUCUAUGUUAAUGAACUUCAUGACUUAACUGGAUAAAUAGUUGUUAUUAGAGAAUGAUAUAUACUUUUCUGAGCUUUGUUCAUUGUUUAGGAAUCUUCUGAUGUUUCUGAAUGUGUUUGUUAACUGUAAUACCAUAUUUAGUUAGCUUGAUCAAGCAGUAUUCUUUAAACAUCUCUUGAUAUCCUGUCGAGGGUUGAUGUCUUCUACAUUUGUGCUAUAUUGUCUAUUGAAGCUAAGCAAUUCUAUAUCAUUUGUUAGCAUGUAUUUUCCUCAUAAAUCUAUGUUAUACCCACUUAAGUUGUUUUCUUAGAAUGAUUAAUCUGUUAUUGAAACCAUGCCUACCUUAACAUGUAAAACUCACAUGAUUUUGUGACUUGAACUUCUGUGGUGGAUUCACUAGCUUAGUUGUCACAUCUGCUCACUUGAUAUGUUAUAUAAUCUUGCAAACCUCAAGAAAUACCAAAUUGUGUGUGUAUAUAUAUAUAUAUAUAUAUAUAUAUAUAAUAUAUNNNNNNNNNNNNNNNNNNNNNNNNNCUACUACUAACUAACUAACUAACUAACUAAGUAGUGUGUAUAUAUAUAUAUAUAUAUAUAUAUAUAUAUAUAUAUAUCCUUGGGAUGCUUCCCCUCAUGCUUUUGUAAUUCUGAGACCUCUUAAGAGAUUACUGUAAAGGUGAUCCUAUCCAUUUCUUUGGUUAUGUGAUCAUAUAUGUGAAGCCUCACCUAAUAGUAAAUAUGUCCUGAAAUGAGACUGGUUUAAGUUCUAAUGAAUUUUUAUAGUUAAUAUGAAGUCAGACUGCUACUGUUGACAUAGACCAAGCAUGUUUAGAAUUUUCUUCAGGGACCUGAUUAAGAAAUAGAAUUUGGUUAAGAGUUAUAGAUAUUGUACAUAUAUAUCACCCCCUUAACUGACCAUACCAAGUUAAACUUCACCAUGCUUGGGCUGAUGCAUUCACCUGUGUAACUGGGCUAGUUAUCUUGCUACUAGUACCCUGCUUAUUCCAUGUGAAACCUUCUUUGCUCUGAACUUUUAUACUGAAUUUUGUUGGCCUGACCCUGUGCUCUAUCAUGUUGUAGUCUUACACUCAUUAGGGACAUUUCUUGGAUGUGUUUGAUUGUCUGCUCUUGUAUUUCUAUACUCAUUCCUGUUAUCAAACAGACAUAUGCUUAUCUUUCAUACUCAUGCAUAUGUUCUCACAUUGCCCUAUCACAUAAUGAAGAUUGAACCUUGCUAAGUUUGCAUAAGUCAACUAUGAUUCAUUUGUGGAUUUGAGAGAGACUUCUGAUGAUAUCAUGACUUUUUUAAGGAGAAAGUCAUCAUCCAUUAGAGUUGAAACUAAUUUGUUUACUUAAAUAGUCAUGUUGAUGCUCUUUAAAGAUCCUAUAUGACACUAUUAACCCAUACACCUAUUAGAGCUUAAAACUUGACCUGUGCAUGCACCCCGAUUAACUUAAGCCUUGAUUGUUAAGUUUGAGGACCUCUGUAGAUUUGAACUAUGUACCUCUUUUACUUCUUAAGUUGCGUGACUUAAUGGUUUGAACGAUUGAAAUAAUCUUCUACUAAUCUUUUUCCUUAAUUGUACAUGUAAUUUUUUUCUAUGGACAUUCUUCUACAUAUUAGUGGUUCUUAACAAUGAACUACACAUUGGUGUUUGGGUUGAGACCCGUGUAAACUUUGAAGUGCCAGGGACUCAAAGGGUAUCUUGACUAUAAAUGUAAUUUCACCUUAAGCUCUUAAUCAUUGAUAUUUGCCAAUCUCUUUAGGGUUAGUGUCUAAUGAAGAAAAGGCUUCACUGUAAUUUUCCUUACUUUAUUUUAUUUCAGACAAUUUCAUUUGCAUUCUUGACCACAAAUAUUUGUUAUAGUCUCAUUUGAGCCUUGUGUUUGAUCUUAUCUGUAUUUAAAUAUUUUGUUGGGCUUCGUAAAUAAUUUUUACCUUUUUCUCUUGACCAUGUAACUGAACUGGCCCUGUUGAGUUUUAAAGAAUUCAGGCCUCAAGUUCCAGCCUUCGAGUCUGAAGUCACGGGAGCCGCUGCUGCUUGUCUGCUGUUCGCUGGGCCUAACCUUCUUCAGGCCUAAAUUACCUAGUCGUGUUCCUUUUCCUUCCUCAUUAUUAGAUAAUCUGAAUCUGUUAUAUUUUUCUUUAUAUGUGUAUAAUACUAACGAUAUUGAUUGGAUAUUUUAUUUUCCUUAAGACCUUUAGGAACCUAGGCAAGCCAAGAUACAUAGGUAAUAAAAAAAUCACUAUUACGUUACAAUUAGCCAUAAAAUUUUGGCACUUUGAUAAUUUAUUUCAUAGGAUUUUAUUUUGAAUCACUCUAACCAUUUUAAUUGAGUUCUUUGAAGUUCAAAGCAGAUUUGAAAAGCAAUGCAAUUCUUCUAAAGCCAGAAUUGAAAAGGGAUAUUUCAAAUUAGUUUUUCUUCUAAACAAAAUCAACACGGUUAGAAUCAAGGCUACUAAACUUUCAACGAUUUUUCUUCAAAUACAUCGCUACCAAUUGAAACAAAUCUCCAAAGGUAUAUUCAAGGCGCAUUUCUAAUAGUCUUUACUCUACUAGACUUUUAUAGCGAACCAUGUUAUAUAGUAUUCAAACAUAGCCAUAUCUUAUGUCUUUCAAGUCUUGUUGGUGUAAAUGUUAGAAAUUAUUUUUUUCAAGUCUCUCCAAUCAUGUAGAUAUAAAUAUUUCAAGAGGCUUUUACAAAUUAAACCUAAAUUCUCUUUUCAAUGUACAUAUAUUAUUUCCUUUCAAAAUGAUAAGUUUCUAGAACAUAACCUAGAGUAAGUUACACAUAUUUAGCACUAACUAAAGUAGAAUAUAGACGUUUAAUUCCCCGAGGUCUAAGUCCAAUGAAGCUACCUUAGGUAGAUUUUAAGGGGUGCCUAACACCUUUCCUUAGAAGAAUAUGAAUCCUUACCCAAAUCUCACUGGUUAGCAUACUAAUAAGAUAAUGAUCUUAAUAAUUAAAUAGGUACCCUACUAUACCUUUAAAUAUUAGUUGGCGACUCUCUUUUAUAAUUAACAGGGAAACCACUAGUUGAAUCUUAUUUUGACUCGUGCAAAAUAGGGUGCAACAACAUGGCGACUCUGCUGGGGACUACACUUAGGUUCUGAUCUAAGCAGACUUAGACUAUACUCGGAAUUUAGGAAUACUUAUACACUGCUUUAACUGUGUUUAAUUUGCAACUAUGUGCUUACCUGCCUUACUUGCUCAUUAUGUACUUAUCUGCUUGCUUCAAUGUUAUUACUAACAUCCCACUAUUUGUUUUCGCUUUAUAUAUACUUUCAUCACACUCUUCCCUAUCGAAUCAUGGUCGUACACUAUCACGCACAAUGUCAUGUGAGGGUUAUCAUUUACACCCCUCCGAACCUUCUUUCAAAAUUCUUUAGUUUCAGAGAAUGGCUUUGUCAGGUCAACUGACAUAACUUCUCGCAGUAUUCAGUCCAACUAAAAAUUAGGAAACACUCUACUCUAGCAAACAUAGGUCAUAUUGCAUAAGCCUUAGGUAAGUUGGUCCUUGGCAUUGUCACACAAUUAGGAAAUCCACCGUAAUGUCAAUAGGUCAUGCACCCAACGACAUGACUUUUGUGUAAAGACAAACUAAUCAUGACGAGACACUAAUGAUCUGAAUCAAACACUUAUCAAACCCUUUUAUCCACCAUUUUCAGAUUUGGAAAUCAACUAGAACAUCCUCGAAAUCAAUAUGGUAAUGGGAGCACCGAACAAGCUAAAGAAAUGAUGGAAUAAUAUCCGCCGAGAGCAUGGAAACGAAAUCAAGACACACCUGGGAGCAUUGAGUGCCUAACUGAACAUCCGGGCCGAUAGGGUGCACACCCAUUUGCUGAUAGAGUUUUGGGAUGUAGCCAAAGUGGUUUCAAGUUCGCUGACUGUGAGUUGGUGCCAACGUUGGAAUAAGUUACCAACUUCACAGAGCUGCCAUUUACAAGGAAGAAAUCGAUACUACAAGUCACCAUGCCCGGCUAUAGGUUUUUUGAUGCUUUAGGUUUAGUGGGUAAUCGGAGCUUAAGGGACAUUGAAGAUGGAUGGGUAAGCCUGGACCAAUGUUUUGAUAGGUUUGGACAUCGUGAUAACUAUGAAUAGUACAUAGGAGUCUUUCAGUUUGAUCAGGUAACCUGGGAAAGCCCCCGAACCAUAACCUUCUCUUUGGUGCUGCUAGGAUUGUUGGUCUUCCAACAAAGAAGAGGAUAUAUAACCAUUAACUUGUUGCAUGUGAUCUUGUCAACAUUCCGAGGCAACCUCAAAGACACUUUGGUACCUAUGGUGCUAGAAAAAACUUUCAAGGCAUUUUCUGCAUGUUCUCGGGGGUACUAUUUCUUCAAGGGUUGCAACUUGUUGCUCCAAAUAUGGGCCACGGAGAACUUCUUUCAACGAGAUGCCACAUUUGAUUACUUUGUGGGCUUUAGCAACAUGAUUCGAAGUCACAGUUAGAGAAUGAGGCAUUGCGUCUCCCUACAUGGACAGGAAGAAUAGAGAGAGAUGCUAACAAACUUAAGCGGAGAGUGGAUAAACUGGAAGUUGUCAUGGCUGAGCGGCAGGGCAAUUCUAAGGACUCCUAGAAGUAUUUCAUCGAGCUAAUGGGACUCGAGGGUAUUCAAACAUAUACACCCUAUGAGUUCUCAAGCAAUUCGGGUUGAUUCAGGAUGUACCUCUCUAAAUGAGGACGACACUGUAUGAAGACGAGUACAAUGGGCACAUCUCACAACCAAGGAUAAAGGGGCUUUAGAAGUAGUGGAAUGAUCUAAUCACGAUGCCAAAUGGGUCAGAAUUUGUGGUGCACUCUGGAAUAGUAUGUCUGGAUCAAUGAAGAGGAUGAGCUAGCCCGACCAAGUAGGGAGGGAAUAUCCUGGCUGGAAGAUGCAGUGGUGGCUUUGCAAAUAUAUCAUGAGAUUUUGCCGCACUACCUUGUGACUACCUCCAUGCACCGUUAAGUGGUCCCAGGAUAAAUUGAUCAUAUGAUGCCACUUUCUGAGGAUGACCACCGAGUAGCUGAGUGUAUACAAAUUGAGUCUGAGAUAGAAAUAGAAGAAGACCUAGAGGAAGAGCCUGAGUUUAAUGAUGAUGAAGAAGAGUUUGAAGAAGGCCCGAAAGAGGAGCCUAAAGAGGAGGAAGACACGGGGAAUGAUUCUGGGGAUGGUUGUUAGAACCUGGUUGAUUUCACCCCUUUUCCUACCUUGUAUCUUUUAUCUCGAACCCUUCCAAUUACCUAAGGGCAAGUCUGUUGAGCCCAUGUAAUCUUAUGAAAGUUGAAAACAAUGAUGUAACCUUUGCUCCCGCCUGUUACAAUCCAAUAUUAUUAAUGAAAACCAAUUUUGAUUUGGAUAUGAAUAUGUCAAAUCUAAUUGUUUGUCAAAAUUCGCGACUUAGGCCUACCUCCGGCAAAGAGAGGUCCCUCGAACAUUAGGAAAAACGUUUGUUUCAGUACGUGAAUUAACUGCUCUGUGUGAUCAUUAUUUGUACAAACACUGAAACUGAGUUGUGUUCUUAUGCCUUUUUCUUUUCUUUUCUUGUAUUAAUUUAUUCCCCAGAAGAAGAAGUCUAUUUGGUGUUGACCCAAAAACUAGCGGAACCACCAUACAAUUUGAUAUCGAAAACGAAUAUGUCUGCGAUAGAUAACCCGACCAAACACACUCUGAUAAUAGUUGAUAGGCCAGGGUGAUCGAGAGAGAAUAAUGAUACUCGGAAUGAUGAACAUGUUGCUAGGAUGGCCCAAGAGAUGGAAUCGUCAAGGGAGGAACACACAUUCGGGUAUUGGUACAUCUGGUUGUGACGACGCUCCCACAACCACCCCGUUUUCCUUUUCUAGAUUCGAUCCUCGACCAUUUUGUUUCAACUUCUCACCAAGUAAAUAAUACCCCGACUUCAGUCCCUACCACCCAGAUUAUACCCCCAGUAACCCCUUCGAAUCCACCAAACCCAACCUAUACAAACCCCUUAUGUACCAAACUAUAUUCAGACAUCGUAACGCCCACCAGUUUCUACGAACGCAGUUCAUACCCCUCCUCAUGAUUACAUCACCUUCACCACCAAUCAAAACUAGAACAUACCCACGACACAUACCACUACACACGAGUGAUAUGUUCCACCCAUAUAUGUCAUUUCAGAACCAACCUUCACAAUGCCCGUCACGGUCAGGCUGCCUUAUAAAGUUGAUCAAUAUAUGGAAAUGGAAAGGGAAGCUUAGUAUAAGGAGGAAGAGUCAGUAUACGAAUAGUUAUGGGCUUUGAGGAAACAAAUGAAGAACCUUCAACUCGCUCGAGGGAGCGAAAGUCUAGAUUAUGAGGAUCUGUGCGUACACCCUGAUGUGGACAUGCCGAUAUGGUAAAAGCCUUCGAAGUUUGAUAUCUUUGAUGGGACCGGUGAUCCCCAUGCACAGAGCCUGUUGCGAUAAGCUAGUUGGAGUUGGAAGGAAUAAGAAAUUGAGGAUGAAUCUAUUUAUAAGGAUUUUGAUAGGGGAGGAACUUACUUAGUAUACUCUCCAAGAUCCCAAAAACUGGAAGGAGUGGCAGGAUAUGGCAGAAGAUUUCAUGAACCAUUUUUGGUUCAACACAAAAAAUUACCCUUGAUAGAUUUGCCUUGGUAAACUUGUAGAAAAAGCCUUCAGAAUCAUUUCAAGAGUAUGCACGUUGAUAUAGGUCAGAGACUACCAGAGCACAACCCCAGUUAGAUGGCAGCGAGUUGACUAAAUACUUUAUCAAGGCUCAGGAAGGAAUCUACUUUGAGAAAAUGAUGGGCAUGAUGGGGUAUAAGUUCCUUGAACUUGUUAAGAUGGGAGACUUUUUAGAGGAAGGCAUAAAGUUCGGCAUGGUACAAUCUAUGGCUGCAUUGCAAGCAGAAAGCAAAGCAAUUCAAUCAUGUUCAAUAGGAAGCAGAAAUAAGAAAAAAGGAAGAGGUAUCUACAAUCGUUCCCUAUUACCAGUCUAAUCCACACCACGGAAACAAUUAUUAGUCUCCAAAUACCCAUUCCCAACACCCACCUAAUUAUGCUCCAAUAUACAACACACAACCAUUCUACAAUCCCCAACCUCAAUAUAACCCACCUCGGGCCCAUAAAACUUCAAAUCCACCACGACCAUAAGCUGCAGUGCAAACUAUCACUCAUCAAAAUUGACCGACCUAUGCAAUCCGACCUCGCCCAAAUUUUGAAGGAAGAGGUCCCAGAAACUACACUCUGAUUGCUGAACCUUUGGCUCAACUGUAUGAAAGACUGAGGAGAGCUGGCUUGUUACAUCCGAUAAAAGGAAGGAUUCAUGAGAAUCCUUAAAAUACUUUGAUGCAACAAAACGAUGCGUCUACCAUUCAAAUGUACUAGGUUAUGAUACCGAAGAUUGCUUCAAACUAAAAAAUGAAAUUGAAUCACUGAUUAAAAGUGGAGCCGUUCAGUGCACCCCAGCUUUGACUAAUGUGAACCGUAAGCCAUUGUGAAACCAUAGGAAUCAAGGAGCUAAUAUGAUCACCCUAGAUGAAGUGUAUGACUUGAAAGGAACCAUCAUCACGAUCGGAAACACUAAGGCUGCAAUGGUUCUAUCCCUAAGGACUAUGAUGAUCACCGUACAAUUAAAACCUAUUGUGAUGGUCCAGACAUACCAGCAAUAGUCCACCCCUAUUUUCUGAGAUGAGGAGGAUCAAGAAUACAAGACAGUCCCGUGGACAUAUUAGCAAAAAGGGAAAGGCAAGAUGACAUAUUCCGCAUCGGCUCAUAGAAUGACCAGGACAGGUAGGUGUUACGCUCCGGAGGAGGUAAACCGAAGAAAUCUAGGAAGGAAAUAGAUUCAGAGAAAGAAUAUAACAAAUACGGAGGCCACAAAAUUCUGGAACAAGAUGUCAACUAAAGAAUACACCAUGGAGGAACAAUUAAAGAAAACCCGUGCGCAAAUAUUAAUCAUGGAUCUACUGAUGAGUUCUGACAGUCACAAAGACGCCUUCAGGAAAGUGUUAAGUGGGGUGAGCGUGCCGAGCAACACUACCAGUGAGGUACUAGCAGCGACUAUCGGGAUGAUGGUCGAGGCGAACAUGAUUACCUUCCAAAGAGACGAACUUCCCAUAUAAGUCGUGGGUCACAAUAGAUCUUCGCACAUCACCGUCAAAUGUAGAGAUAAGAUGGCAUCCUAAGUACUCGUUGAUGGAGGAUCUAAAGUCAAUAUAUUCCCACUUUACGCCCUAUGAGGGCUGGGUAUUCAUAUAAUAGAAGUAAAAAAAAGUUAUGUGAGGGUAAGAGAUUUCAACGGGUCGCAAAAGGACAUCAUUGGAGAAAUCUAUUUACCUUUGCAAAUUUGACCAGUUGAGGUUCCCAUAUUGUUCCAAGUAAUGGACAUUUCACCGUCAUAUAAUCUGUUGUUGGGAAGGCCUUGCAUACAUAUGGGAAAGGUAGUCUCAUUUACCCUCAAUAAAUGCAUGAAGUUCGAGUGGGGUUGUGAAGAGAUUGUAGUUCAUGGAAUAUUUAGCCAAUCAGCUUAUCUAGAACAUGCAGUUCCAUUCAUAGAAGGAUUAGAUGGGAUCGCUCUUCAUGCGGUCAAGAUUAUGCAGACCACUGAGAUAGGAGAGACCGAGCAAAAUCUGGGUAUGAAAUCACCAUACAAAUCAAAGAUGGCUAUGAGAGAAAUGAUGAAGUACGGGUACAGACCAGGGACCAGGUUGGGAGCCCGAUCAGAUGGGAUAAUAGAAUCGAUUGAGCCAAGGGGGCAGAAAGGUAGAGCCGGAAUAGGGUAUCAGCCUCCAACUCAAAAGACUUAUACUGGUGGCUUUGGGAACAAAGAUUUUAUGCCAGCGCAUGUUUUAUGUCCGAUUCAAAGGUCAACACCCGAGGACGAUAUCGUCGAUGGAAUGGGAAGGUUGUUUUUUACCAUGAUCGAGGAAUGCUGUGACAAAAUUGAUAUCACGACACCGACCACUCAGAAUGCCAAACCAGGAGAGGACUUGCAGAAUUGGACUGCCAGCCCGUCUUUGGUUUGCUGAGAAUUUUGGUAGUGUGGAAUUGUAAAACCUUUUGAAAAAAGUGCACGAUUAACUGAGGCUUGAACUGUGCCCAUACUCUUUUAUCAAUUACCUCCUUGAACCCUUAGACGUUCCUCUUUUGAUGAAAUAAAACGAAAUGGUUUCUUAAAAUUGUUGUAAACUUAUUUAUCGCUUCAUUUAUACUUCAUUUUUCUUUUUAGUAAUCAAAACGAUAAAAACCCGUGUUUCGUGAUUAUGACAUGUAACAAAACCCUCGAGCAAAGUGAUCCAGAUUAUGAGGAAUAUGAUGAAAGCAUAAUGCCAAAUAAUCUCCCACAAGAGAUUGAGUAGUUGGAAAGACUGAAAAAAACCUAACCUCGAAGAGACAGAAGUAGUCAACCCGGGAAGCGAAGAAGCUGUGAAAGAAACGCGAAUCAGCAUCCAUUCAGAAGCAGAGCAAAAAGACGAAUUGUUUUAGCUCCUCAGAUAGUGCAUCGACGUAUUUCAUGGUCGUAUGACGACAUGCCUGGAUUAAGCACCAAUAUCAUUUCGCAUAGACUGCCUACCAAUCCUGCUAGUCCACCAGUCAAACACAUACCUAAGAAGUUCAAGCCGGACUUGAGUUUGAGGAUGAAAGAAGAUGUAACCAAGUAAAUAGAGGCAAACGUGGUGAGAGUCACCAAUUAUCUCAUGUGGUUGGCGAAUAUUGUACUGGUACCAAAGAAGGAUGGGAAGAUCAGGAUAUGUGUGGAUUAUCGAGAUCUUAACAAGGCCACUUUGAAAGAUGAUUUCCCUUUACCAAAAAUUCACAUCCUCAUCGACAAUUGCAUGAAGCACGAGGUGUAGUCAUUCAUGGAUUGUUUUGUCGAGUACCAUCAGAUACUGAUGCAUGAAGAAGAUGUAGAAAAGACAGUGUUCACUCCGUCUUGGGAGUUUAUUGCUAUAAAGUCAUGCCAUUCGGUCUCAAGAAUGCCGGUGCUUCUUACACGAGGGUCAUGACGACCCUCUUUCACGACAUGAUCCACAAAGAGAUUAAGGUAUAUGUGGAUGACGUCAUUAUCAAAUAUCGAAAGAGUGCAGAACAUUGGGACGACAUAAAGAAGUUUUUUGAACUCUUGCGGAGGUAUAGUUUGAAGUUGAACCCUAUAAAAUGUGCAUUCGGAGUCCCUGCCGGAAAAUUAUUAGGUUUCACCGUAAGCAGGAAAGGGAUAGAAUUGGAUCCUUCAAAGAACAAAUCCAUUCAAGACUUCCCACCCCUAAAAGCAAGAAGGAUGUAAUGAGUUUUCUUGGUAGACUAAAUUACAUAAGCCGAUUCAUAGCCAGUCCACGGUAAUUUGUGAGCCUAUCUUCAAGCUAUUGAAAAAUGAUGCCGCUAUAAAAUGGACAGAAGAAUGUUAGAAACCCUUUAACAAGAUCAAGGAGUACUUGUCAAAUUCACUAGUGUUGGUUCCUCCUGAGCCCGGGAAGCCAUUGUUGUCAUACCUGUUAGUAUUGGACAAUACAUUUGGAUACGUGUUGGGACAACACGAUGAGAGCGGGAGAAAAGAGCAAGCUAUCUACUACUUAAGACAUAAGUUUACCCCAUGUGAACCCAAAUACACUUAGAUAGAGCGCACUUGUUGUGCCUUGACUUGGGUCACGCAGAAGUUGAGGCAUUACAUGACAGCAAACACCGCACAUCUAAUAUCCCGGCUCGACCCGCUCAAGUAUAUCUUCCAGAAGUCGAUGCCUACAGGAAAACUGGCCAAAUGGCAGAUUCUUCUCAGCGACUUUGACAUUGUGUACAUAACACAAAAGGCCAUCAAAGGACAAGCCCUAGCUAACCACCUUGCAGAGAAUCCAGUGGACAAGGAUUAUGAACCUCUCACUAUAUACUUUCCGGAUGAAGAAGUGUUGUUCGCCGGAGAAGACGUUGCAGAGUCAUACCCUAGAUGAAUAAUGUUCUUCGACGGAGUAGAAAAUUUCAAAGGAGUAGGAAUUGAGGCAAUCUUGAUUUCAGAGUCAGGAUAACAUUAUCCGGCAUUGGCAAAGAUAAGGUUCCCCUGUACCAAUAAUAUAGCCGAGUACGAAGCAUGCAUCUUCUGGAUUAGGAAUGCGGUCGACAUAAACAUCAAGCACAUUCUCAGGAUCCAAAACGAGUUUGUCGAUACUCUCGUAAGCUUGUCAUCCAAUAUCCAACAUCUAGAUAAGAAUUGUAUCGACCCUAUUGAGAUAGAGAUGAGGGAUCUGCAUGCGCACUAUUUCCAUGUAGAUGAAGAGCCAUACGGUAAGUCGUGGUACCAGGACAUCCAAAGGUUUCUUGCAACAUGAGAGUAUCUAGAGAGCGCCACGAUGGUUCAGAAGUGAGCACUCAGAAGGCUAGCAAAUCAAUUUUUCCUCAAUAUGGAAGUCCUGUAUAGAAGGACCCUAGAGUUGGAUAUGUUAAGAUAUGUAGAUGUUGUUGAAGAAACCAGACUGCUAGAAGAAAUACAUGCAGGGACAUGUGGACCACACAUGAACGGUAUCACCUUAGCCAAUAAGAUUUUAAGAGCCGAAUAUUUUUGGAUGACCAUGGAAAGUGAUAGUAUCCGCUAUGUGUAAAAGUGUCACUAGUGCUAGAUCCACGUGGAUUUAAUCCGGGUUCCACCUAAUGAGUUGAAUGUAAUGGGUUCGCCUUGAUCGUUUGCCGCUUGGGGCAUGGACAUAAUCGGACCUAUAGAGCCCGCUACAUCAAAUGGACACCGUUUUAUUGAUGUAGCAAUUGAUUACUUCACCAAAUGGGUUGAAACUUCUACAUACAAAGCCUUCACAAAUAAAGUAGUGGUAGAUUUCAUGCGUAACAAUAUAGUCUGUCGGUUUGGGAUACCCGAGUCAGUUAUCACUGAUAAUGCAGCCAAUCUCAAUAGUGUUCUCAUGAGUGAAAUUUGUGAGACGUUCAAAAUCGUCCACCGUAACUCUACAGCCUAUAGACCGCAAAUGAAUGGAGCAGUUGAAGAAUCCAACAAAAUCAUUAAAAGGAUUUUACGAUGAGAACAUCCACUAGGGCAACGCCAUAGAUAUUGGUAUAUGGCACCGAAGCUGUGAUACCCGCACAGGUCGAGAUACCAUCCUUGAGAGUCAUUCAGGAAGCCAAGUUGGACGAGGCAGAAUGGAUACAGGUUAGGCAGGAGCAACUCAUGCUCAUGGACGAGAAGAGAAUGGACGUAGUAUGCCACAGUCAGCUGUAUCAAAAUAGGAUGACCAGUGCAUUCAACAAAAGGUCGAAACCUCACCAAUUUACAGUGGGGCAGUUUGUUCUAAAGAAAACAUUCUCUCACCUAGAAAAAGCGAAGGGAAAGUUUGUGCCAAAUUGGUAGGGUCCUUACAUGGUCCAUUGAGUGUUGUCGGGAGGAGCACUAAUCUUGGCAUAGAUGAAUGGAAGAGUCAGCACAAAGACUAUCAGCUUAGAAGCAAUCAAGAGAUACUACAUUUGGAGAAAGUAAAGUUAGGUUUAGGUUGUAACAGAACUACGUUGUCAUGACCCAAAAUCCGACUAGUCGUGAUGGCACCUAACCCAACCGCUAGGUAUGCCACUUAGCCACUAAUCAAUUCCAAUAACAAUUAAUAAAGCAAUUUAAGUAAAGAAUUAUCUUAAUCUUAUAUAUUUCCCAAGAACUGGUAGUACAAAUCAUGUGCUUCUAAGAAUAGAGUAUACAACGCUUGUACGAUGUAAACACAUCAUCUAUUUGAAAAGUAAAAAAAUAGAGUUUUAUGAAUCUAAGGCUACCAUGAACACGAGGAAGCUACAACCGGAGCAUAGGUACAUCUUCAAAUCCAGCUCCCAACGAACGCAACAACAUCAGCAACCAACAUAUGCACGCAAGGUGCAAAAGUGUAGUAUGAGUACAACCGACCCCAUGUACUCAAUAAGUAACAAACCUAACCUUAAGUUGAAAGUAGUGACGAGCUUGUACCAAGGUCGGGUACCAACUUCAAUAACCAACAAUAGUUCAUAACAACAUAAAAUAGGUAAUACCAUAAGUAACUCAACAAUCAAAUGCUCAACAAAAACAUGAUUUCUGAAAAUAAUUCUGCCUUUCAAGUACAUCAAUGAAAACCCAAAUCGUUUACCGGAAUUGCCAAAAAUAUGAAUAAAUUUGAAAACAAUAUUUUUCGCAAAAUCCUUUUAAUAAUAAAUAAGAUGUUUCAUUUUCUUUCCAGAUAACCAGUGUAAAACAAAUGCAUCACUAUGCCCAUCUGUCAACAUGUGUGAGAAAUCAUGAAUGAUGUGAUACCGUACAGCAUGAGAAAAAUACAUCUCUAUGAUUGUAUGUCAUGUGUGCACGUCAAUGCAAUGUAUCUCAAAGAUGAACUCAUGUAAUUACACUCUCAGAGUACUCAAUCUCACUUUCUCACACAUUCCACUUAUCAUGCGUAAUCACUCUGUAAUAUUUAUGGCCAAUCCGGCCCAGGGAAGAUCCAUCCCGGAAUAUACACAUCAACUGAUCUUCAGUCACUCAGUACCGAGUAGGACCAAUCCAUCCUGUGGAAAAGAUCCAUCUCCAGGUAUAUAAUACUUCUGACAAGAUCCAUGCCCAGGGAAGAUCCAUCCCUCAAUAAUAUCAACCACGCUCACUGGGGGUGUACAGACUCCGGAGGGGCUCCUUUAGCCCAAGUGCUAUAAAUCGCAUGGACAACUCACGUGCUGCACGGACAACUCACGUGCUAUAGUAAAGCCUAUAGGGCCUGCUACGUGCGCGUAGCCCCGAUCCACAUAAUAAUAAUAAUAUAUAUACAGCCAAUAUGGCCUGCUGCAGGCGGGCAACCCCGAUCCACAUAAUAAUAUCCUCACAGUCAGGCUCUCGGCCUCCCUCAGUUAUCAAUCACUCCAGUCUCUCUCUUAUCGGCUCACAAUGUUAUUAAAAUAGACCAAAAAUGAUGAUAUGAUGUAUCAAUAAAUAAUAGAGACUGAGAUAUGAUAUGCAAUGAAAUGAAUAUGACUGAGUAUAAAAUUUCAUUUUGAACAAAUAAUUCAUAGCAAUAUGACCUUUGUGGGUCUCAAUAAUAUUGGCACAUAGCCUCACAUGAUUUUUAAUAUGAUUCUCAGUUCAAUUUCUUUAACACAUAAAACUACAUUGAAAUUGCCAAGAUUAUUUGACUACAAAAUUCCACGGAACAAUUACGUCAAAAUUUCUAUGGUGCAAGCCCACAUGCCCGUCAUCUAGCAUGUGCGUCACCUCCAAACAUUUCACCUAAUACGUAUUUUAAGGGUUCAUACCCUCAGCUCCAAGAUUAGAAGAGUUACUUACCUCGAACAAGACAAAUCCAAUUCUGAGCAAGAUCAAAAUGCUCCAGAAAUCCCAUUCUGCGCGUAUCAACUUCUGAGCGGCUCGAAUCUAGCCACAAUAAAUUUGAUUCAGUCUACACAAUUAUAGGAAUUAAUUCCUUAUCAAAAUACUAAUAUUUUCCCAAAAACAUCCGAAACUACACUCCAAAAAAAUCGCCCAUGUGGCCCACAUCUCGAAAUCGGACAAAACUUACAAAAUCUGACAACCCAUCCAAUUACAAGUUCAACCAUACUAAUUUCACUCAAUUCCGACUCCAAAUCGAUGUUCAAAACUCCAAAAAUGCGUAUUAUGAACUGUAGGCCAACACCCCCAAUUUCCACUUUAAAUUCAUCAACCAAUUGCAAAAAUGAAGAUAGAUUCAUGGAAUAUAAUCACAAGGGAGUCAAGAACACUUACCCCAAGUUGUGUGGAAAACUUCCUCUCCAAAAUCGCCCAAACCGAGCUCCAAAAUGACCAAAAUGAGAAAAAUCUCGGAAACCCUCAUUUUUAACAUUGCCCAGGCAUUUCCGCACCUACGGUGCCUGGGCUCGCACCUGCGCAUAUGCUUUUGUGGAAGGAAUUGCGCUUCUGCGGACCUCACUUACCCAGCUAGCCUCCGCUUCUGCCAUGCUUAGGACCGCAUCUGCGGUCGCGCUUUUGUGCAAAAAUCCCUGCACCUGCGAAGACCCCACGCCAGCCCCAAUCCCGCAUUUGCGCCAACCACGCUGCUCCUGCGGCAUCGCACCUGCGGCCAAGACCCUCACAGGUGCGAUCACAUCAGAGGCAGUAGUUCCAGCAUUUUCCUUAAGUCCGAAUUUGAUCAGUUAACCAUCCGAAAUGCACCCGAGAUCCCCGGGAACUCAACCAAAUACACCAACAAGUCCUAAAACGCACCAUGGACCUAUUUGAGGCCUCAAAUCACAUCAAACAACAUCAAAAUGAUGAAUCAUACCCCAAUUCAAAAUCUAUGAACUUAGAACUUUCAAAUUCUAUAUCUUGUGCCGAAACACAUCAAAUCAAUCCGGAAUGAAUUAAAAUUUUGCACACAAGUCAUAAAUGACAUAAUGAAGUUGUUCCCAUUUUCAGAAUCAGAUUCCGACCCCGAUAUCAAAAAGUCAACCCCCGGUCAAACUGCCCAAAAAUUCAACUUUCGUUAUUUCAAGCCUAAUUCAACUACGAACCUCCAAAUAAUUUUUCGGACACGCUCCUAAAUCCAAAAUCACCACACGAAGCUAUUGGAAUCAUCAGAAUUCAAAUUUGAGGUCGUUUACACAUAAGCCAACAUUCGGUCAACUUUUUCCAACACAAGCUUUCCAUUGUGAGACUAAGUGUCUCAAUUCAUUCCGAAAUCCUUCCGAACUCGAACUAACUAAUCCGAUAGGUCAUAAUACAGAUAUAAAGCACAAAUAGAGCAGUAAAUGGGGAAAUGGGGUUGUAAUACUCAAAACGACCAGCUGGGUCGUUACAUUCUCCCCCAUAUGUUCGUCCUCGAAUGUGCCAAGAGCUGUUUCUAAGCCAUCAAAUCACUAUUCCAUAUUACCCCGCACAUACCCCGGGGUGAUCCCACAUCACCCUAUUCCACAUAGGCCUAACAACAUAAUACAACUGAAAAUCCUUAAUUUAACUUUAACCCAAAACCCUUAGAAUUCAAUUCCCAGCCUUCAGAAUUUCUUACAAGACACAAAUCUCACUGUUACACACUGUAUAAGUCUGAACAAGCUGCAUCGAGCCAUGACCAUAACCCCAGAUAUAAUCACAUAACAUACCACACAACUCACUUACUCGCAGCACCAUUCCCGAUCACAGUAACUACUCCAACUAACCCGGUACUAGUAUUAAACCCCAUAUCAAACAAAACCUCAUUCCAAAACCUUGUUCCAAAACCUUCGUACACUUCUGAUAAUGAAAGAAACACGCAGAAAUCUCAGGACCCCUUAUCAGAUCAACAAGUGAUGGAGCUCUCUCUCCCCAACCAGAACCAUAAUCACUUUCUAAGCCGAAUUUCAAUAUUAUUCUCCCGAAUAUACCGUUUCAAACCUGAUAGUACUCAUUCUAGGUCCAAUGACCUUAUAUUAUUAAAUACAUCUAUCCCACAGACAUGCCACACCAAGAUAACUCAGAGCCACAAACCGUGCCAUCCAUGCGCCAAUACGCAACAAUUCAAAUGUACUAAGUCAUGAGAAAUGACUCAAAUGAGAGAACUGCCCCGCAAGAUUAACAAAUACUGCCACAAAGAAAUGCUGGAAAUCCAUCACACACUGUAGAACCAUCACACGAUUCUAACAUAAAGUACAUACCUUUACAUAACUCCACUGCAAUGCGUGACCCCAUCCAAACGCCGGUCCAUAUUAUAUACUUCGAGUCACCCUGCUCAGAAUCAAUAACCAUGGAGAGGCAAAUGACACAAUGUCACACAAAACCUAAAAGAACAUAACCAAUACACAAUCGGUCAUGCAAUACCCAAAUACUCAUCUAGCUUGAAUUCCGCCAUGAGGCCCCCAAUAGAACCAUGCCAUGUGUACAUAUAACCAAUGAAUCACAACUCCUCGUAGUAUAGAAGCGUAACGCACAUAUCAUUUCAGAACACGAAUAAGCUCAACAACAACCUAAAGGAACAUUCUUCGACAAUAGCAGUGUGGAGCCAACCAAUCCUACUUAGUGUAGAAUACACAUCCUAAUUGGGCCUACCGAUGGAUCCCCAAAUUAACUCUGGUCACCCAUACAUAGAUAAAUAACCCUCCAAAAAUCCACAAUGACUGAGUCAUAAUACACACUAUUAUCUGGCUAGCUUCUACCACGACUUUAUAGUUCACAACCAUGAAGCAAUCUGCUCCUGACAACUCCCAGUCUCCCAAUCACUAGGACACGCGAAUCACUAUUUCUGAUCCAAUCUCCACCGCCCGAAUGAAUAUCACAUCCUUCAUGCACGACAUCCUUCAUGCACGAUCAUCCCACUAGGAAUAUUUCCAUAAUUCUUCCGUGCCACAUAGCAAUAAUUUAAAUAUCAGCAGUCUAACAACCAGGAUAGUGCCGCGAUACCUAUGACAUUUUCAUAAUUCAAAACAUAGUGUGCCUUCUGAAAUGUACACUCUACUCACGCAAUACCAAAUAGUUAUAGCGGUCAUCUAAACAUAGAAAACCGUCCAUGCCAUCUAAGAAUUUAUGACCUCCCCUUCAAUACUAAACCGUGGCCUUGCGCACGCAAACCUUAAUCCCACAUAACACACUACAUCUAUAAUGUCAUCAUAUGAAAAAAAUACGAGAACCUCAUAAUCAUUCAGGGUCUCAAGUAGAAUACAUACCCGAUUAGUUGGAAUCCUUCCUCUUGCUUCCUUCCAGGAGGAAAUCACAAUACAAAACACGUUCCCCACAUCGGUAGAAAAUAUCUGGUUCAAACCAUGGUAGAAACCAUCAAUAACACUUUGAAAUCCAUUUGCACAUAACCAAGCUAUUAGAAUCGAAUUCCUCUAACUCGACCUAGCCACGCAGGUCACCAAACCUAAUAAUAUUGCCACCAAAACAUCUAUAAAGUCUUACCACAUCUUGAUUGCCCAAAGAACCGAUCAUACCCAUUACCAUACUGAUCCAACCUACUAACAAGUUGUCCUAUUUCUCCGAGUCCCUUCCGAAUUUGUCUUCAGAUUGAUACUUCUUAUUGCUAAAACACCACGACCUUUAACCACAACUCACCACAUAAACCUUAGCAUAGAACCACAACGCCUUACGACCCAUAAGCAACUGUAUUCACUUUAAGCACCUCCAUAAAUACCACAACUGUAACACUCAUUUUGAAAAUAACUUAUGUGAAAUUUAAAAUUGUUUUUCUUACCUUCCUUAUACUAAAAUGUAGAAUACAUAGUCGUAUAGAAUUUCUGCAAGUCCAGGCACCAUCUAAUGCAAAUCUCAAAUUUUUACCUCUACAGAAGUCUGGAGAAAUUCUCAACUGCUAUAUAUAAACCUCGAACCUAUUGGAACUUUCUCGAGAGUCACCCACUUUGUUAAAAUCAAAAUUACACCACCCAAAUGGGCUGAAAGAUACGUUCUCCAUUAGCACAUCACUCCAAGAGGUAAUCCUGCCUUAAUACCACCGAUCAAAUUCAUACUCAGUGAGCACUACAUCAUUCACAAAUAACAACUCACUCAUCCCAUGAUUUUCAUAUACUCAUAAAGUGCAAUAUAACCCGUAUCCAGGAUUUUCCUUACCCGAGUCAUUCUCGAACUCCACCUCUGCAAGUCCUCACCCAAGUAUGCCUCAGGCCAAAACAAAAAUUUGACACAUAACCAUGAAUUGAUUUUUCCAAUAGCAAACUCCCCCACUUGGCUCAAAGCCAUAAAUUUAAACACUCGAUAACUCACAAUAUCCAUACUCUAUUACUGUCAUAAUACCGUAGUCAGUACAAUGAAAAUUCUCCUCAAGCUCAUGAAACGCCAACCAUAAAAAUAUUCCAAAUCAUCCGCUAAGCUCGCAUUCAUUCUCUUAACACUCAAGUCAACUUUCUCAACCAGAUUCAAAUUCAAAUCUAAACAUAUAUGCCCAACUGGCAGAAAAGAAACACUCUACUCACAUUAUAAGGAAUAUACCUACGUAGAUUACUCCGCAGGGGAUAACCCACCUGCUUAGCCUCAAAUUGGUAGCUUGUUAUACCCUUUUGCCGUUACAAUUACAAUGAAAUCACUUAGUCUUUGUGAGUCCAAACUCAUUAACCAGUCAUAAUAAUUUAAUUUAUUCCAAAAUUUAACAAUAUGAAAGAUCUUUCAAAACUUUCACACUCGAGACUAUACGUUGCAUAAAAAUGAAAAUCAAGCACCCAAUGGCCUUCCUUUACACUUCAAGAAAACACUUCUCGCCACAUUCACAUCGUCUUAACACAUCUCACAGUUACAUCAUACUCAUUACAAAUCCAUUUCACCGCUCAUCGAGCUACAAAUUCCGCUCGUAGGGACAUUAUCAGACAUAUGAGACCAAAUGUACAAGUUACAACUGAAGCUACUGAGCUUAAGCUGCGGUUCAACCAUGGCCUCAAGUCCUCCAGACUGGCCCAUCACCAAAACACAUAAUACAUAUCUCGAACCUCAUUCAUAGAAUCAUAUGCCGACGAUGCACGCCUGAUACCGAGCAUUCCUGUGUACAUACGAAUGCGUGGAAGGAAUUCAAAGAGUUAUGUUUCAAGCUGAGUCAAUUUUGCAUGAUAAGAAAAGAAAGAUGGGANNNNNNNNNNNNNNNNNNNNNNNNNNNNNNNNNNNNNNNNNNNNNNNNNNNNNNNNNNNNNNNNNNNNNNNNNNNNNNNNNNNNNNNNNNNNNNNNNNNNNNNNNNNNNNNNNNNNNNNNNNNNNNNNNNNNNNNNNNNNNNNNNNNNNNNNNNNNNNNNNNNNNNNNNNNNNNNNNNNNNNNNNNNNNNNNNNNNNNNNNNNNNNNNNNNNNNNNNNNNNNNNNNNNNNNNNNNNNNNNNNNNNNNNNNNNNNNNNNNNNNNNNNNNNNNNNNNNNNNNNNNNNNNNNNNNNNNNNNNNNNNNNNNNNNNNNNNNNNNNNNNNNNNNNNNNNNNNNNNNNNNNNNNNNNNNNNNNNNNNNNNNNNNNNNNNNNNNNNNNNNNNNNNNNNNNNNNNNNNNNNNNNNNNNNNNNNNNNNNNNNNNNNNNNNNNNNNNNNNNNNNNNNNNNNNNNNNNNNNNNNNNNNNNNNNNNNNNNNNNNNNNNNNNNNNNNNNNNNNNNNNNNNNNNNNNNNNNNNNNNNNNNNNNNNNNNNNNNNNNNNNNNNNNNNNNNNNNNNNNNNNNNNNNNNNNNNNNNNNNNNNNNNNNNNNNNNNNNNNNNNNNNNNNNNNNNNNNNNNNNNNNNNNNNNNNNNNNNNNNNNNNNNNNNNNNNNNNNNNNNNNNNNNNNNNNNNNNNNNNNNNNNNNNNNNNNNNNNNNNNNNNNNNNNNNNNNNNNNNNNNNNNNNNNNNNNNNNNNNNNNNNNNNNNNNNNNNNNNNNNNNNNNNNNNNNNNNNNNNNNNNNNNNNNNNNNNNNNNNNNNNNNNNNNNNNNNNNNNNNNNNNNNNNNNNNNNNNNNNNNNNNNNNNNNNNNNNNNNNNNNNNNNNNNNNNNNNNNNNNNNNNNNNNNNNNNNNNNNNNNNNNNNNNNNNNNNNNNNNNNNNNNNNNNNNNNNNNNNNNNNNNNNNNNNNNNNNNNNNNNNNNNNNNNNNNNNNNNNNNNNNNNNNNNNCAAUUUCUUUAACACAUAAAACUGCAUGCAAAAUACAAAGAUUAUUUGACUAUAAAAUUCCACGGAAUAAUUACGUCACAAUUUCUAUGGUGCACGCCCACACGCCCGUCACCUAGCAUGUGCGUCAUCUCCAAACAAUUCACAGAAUACAUAUAUUCAGGGUUCAUACCCUCAGUUCUAAGAUUAGAAGAGUUACUUACCUCGAACAAGAUGAAUCCAAUUCUGAGCAAGAUCAAAAUGCUCCAGAAAUCCCAUUUUGUGUGUAUCAAUUUCUGAAUGGCUCGAAUCUAGCCACAAUAAAUUUGAUUCCGUCCACAUAAUUAUAUGAAUUAAUUCCUUACCAAAAUACUAAUAUUUUCCCACAAAAUUCGAAAUUACACUCCAAAAAAAUUGACCUAUCUCUGAAUCAAACGAAACUCACAAAAUCGGACAACCCAUCCAAUUACAAGUUCAACCGUACUAAUUUCACUCAAUUUCAACUUCAAAUCAAUGUUCAAAACUCCAAAAAUUCGUAUUAUGAAAUUUAGGCCAACAUCCCCAAUUUCCUCUUUAAAUUCAUCAACCAAUUGCAAGAAUGAAGAUAGAUUCAUUGAAUAUAAUCACAAGGGAAUCAAGACUCUCGCAGGUGUGAUCACAUCAGAGGCAGCAAUUCCAGCAUUUUCCUUAAGUCCGAAUUUGAUCUGUUAACCAUCCGAAACUCACCCGAGGCCCCCAAGACCUCAACCAAAUACACCAACAAGUCCUAAAACAUACCACAGACCUACCCGAGGCCUCAAAUCAUAUCAAACAAUAUCAAAAUGAUGAAUCAUACCCCAAUUCAAAAUUUAUGAUCUUAGAACUUUCAAAUUCUAUAUCUUGUUCCGAAACACAUCAAAUCAAUCCGCAAUGACUUCAAAUUUUGCAUACAAGUCAUAAAUGACAUAACGAAGCUAUUUCCAUUUCUAGAAUCGAAUUCCGACCUUGAUAUCAAAAAGUCAACCCCCCGGUCAAACUUACCAAAAAUUCAACUUUCGCCAUUUUAAGCAUAAUUCCACUACGGACCUCCAAAUAAUUUUUCGGACAUGCUCCUAAGUCCAAAAUCACCAUACAAUGCUAUUGAAAUCAUCAGAAUUCAAAUCGGAGGUCGUUUACACAUAAGCCAAUAUCCGGUCAACUUUUCUAACUUAAGCUUUCCAUUAUGAGACUAAGUGUCUCAAUUCAUUGUGAAAUCCUUCCGAACCCAAACUAACUAAUCAGACAGGUCAUAAUACAGCUAUAAAGCACAAAUAGAGCAGUAAAUGGGAAAACGGGGAUACUCAAAAUGACCUGCCGGGUCGUUACAUACGCUCGACCUGACUUCCCGCAGAGGGAUACAUAGGCAACCCACAUAGGGUCCGGUCUCUCUCUCCCCCUCUUCUUUUGGGAACUACACUGCAACUUGAUUUCCUUGGGAAGGAAUACGUAGGCAAUCCUCAUCAGAUUCAGUCAUCUUUUGUAAUUGAACUACAUUAUGUCUUGAUUCCAUUUGGAUACGUAGGUAGUCUGAGUAAGACUCGACCACUUCAUUUUCAAUCUAAUCAAUUUGCAUCUAUUGUAACUGAACUACAUUUUGACCUGAUUCCAUUUGGAUAUGUAGGCUACUUGAGUCAGGCUCGGUCAUCAUCAUCAUAUUUUCUUUAUCGUUACCCACGAACUACGUUCAUACCUGAUUCCAUUUCAAAUACAUUGGCAACCUGGAAAGGUUCGGUCAUAAACUUAGGAAAACCUUUGUAUUGCAUUAGUUUAGAUUAGGAUACAAUCGCAGAGGGAAGAAUCCACGUCAUUAGAAGCAUCUUAGAGGAUCGACAUCAACGAGACAAAAUCUUCUAGAAAAAAACAUUCGCGUUUGAGGGGUUUUCUAAACAUGUCAUAAUCUGGAGCGACGACAUUUUCCAUACGAUAAAAGAUUUUCAAAAUGUUUUCUCAAAAUUAAAAAUAAAACUACCGUUCCACCUACCAAACUUCAUGAUGUAAUGUAACACCUCAGAAGAUUUUGAAGUAUUUAAGUGUAAAGCCCCGCAAAAUUUCGAAAAUGAAUUUAAGGUUUUGUGGUGCCGGAGUAGGUAUACGUGUUUGAGGAUUUUUGAAGGCUCAGACUUUUUGGGUUGAACAAUGCACCGGAAUGUAAAGGAAAAUUUUUGGCGGAAAAGCGUGUUUCUAUGGUCCAUUAUGCGACCAAAGAACCAAUCUACGGGCCGCAUAAUGGCCGCAGAAGUGAGGCAGGAGAGGGUCAGUCUGGAAGCAAUUAUGCGAUCGACUAUGCGAUCGCAUAAGUGUUCUGCGGUGCAUUAUGCGACCAUAGAACAGUUAUGCAGACCGCAUAGUGACCGCAUACACAGACAGAUGUUUGGUCAUUUUGGUCAGCAACUAUGCGACCGAUAUGCGGUCCUCAUAUUGAUUAUGCGAUCGCAGAACCUAUUCCAGAGCUUUAUUUUUGGGUUUUUACAACCCAACCAACUUCGUUAAAUACACGCAAAGGGUCAUUUUUGAGCAAAAAUUCUGAUAUUUUAGAGAGAAAGGAGAGUGUUUUAGAGAGAGAAGAUUAACAAGGAAAUCUUCAAUUUAUUCAUCAAGUCUUGCUCAAAACUUGGAAGAUUAACAAGGAAAUAUCACAAGUUCUUCAUCUAAGAGGUAAGGUUCCAUAUCCUAGUUUUCAAUUUCGAAUUUGGGAAGAAGAUGGUUGAUUAGGAGUGUGAUUCUUGCAUAUGAGAGUAUUAUUUAUACAUGCAUGUAUCAAUAAGAUUUGUGGAAAGAUUGUUGAGCUUAAAUAAGUAAGGGUUGGGUUGUGGAGUGAAGGAAAUCUUGUAGAAGAACCUUGUGGUUAAAUUUACACACCUAGUGUUUGAUAAAUUGCUCAAACGAGCUGGGAUCAUGAAUAUCUUUCUAAUAAUGGUUCAAUUUUGUUAUGUCUCAAAAUAGAUUGGGAUUGCUAAGAAUUCCAGAAUAUUUUAGAGUUAAGAAAGCUCGAUUGAGGUAUGUUGGCUAAACUACUCUCUUAGAAUUGAAUUCAAUGAUGUUCUCAUAAGUUUCAAGCAUGGUUGUCUCAAGUUCCUUAUUCAAUGUUCCGAGUUGUUUCCAAUAAAUUCGAUUGUCUCGAAUAAGCAAAGUGUCGAGAAUUAUGUAUUCAAAAUGUGUUCUGAAUGUUCCUAUCACAUUAUGUUAUCUUUUGGGAAUGUGUUCAAGAGUGAUAUGUGUACCUAAAAUCUUGACUGGAAAUGUCUUAUUGUUGAUAAUCUAUAAAGAUGGUUGGGAGUGAAAUAAAUGAAUUGAGGAUAUAAAGUGUGGCCAACGUGCCAAUAGUGAAAGUUAUACUUGUGGCCAAUGGUGCCAAUGAAAUGAAAUAAUGUGAGAAAGAUUAUUAAAUGAUCUUUGACUCAGCUAUUCCAAAAUUGACUUCGAUAAAAUAAUUGGCUAAAAGCUUAUGAACUCAAGUGAUGCCCAUAUGUGGCUGUUUUAUCUAAUGCUAUGCUUUGUAAGUAUUAUUCAAUAUGUUUUGCGUUCUUACAUAUUCGUGAGUAGAAAUUGGGUAUGAUUUUAACUUGUGCUUCGAUUGCCAAUCAUUUUACUCCAUUUAUUGGAAAGAAAUCUAUUGUGUUUAAAGCUUUCAUUACUAAUGAACUUAAAGUUGUGAUUUUUGAAAUAUUCUACUUGUUGAUAAUUAUGAUGAUGAUCUAUGAAAGGGAAGAAAUGAAAGUGUGGAAUAUGAAAUACGACCAUUGCGCCAUGAAUAAAGAAUCAUAUGUUUGGCCAAGAGAGCCAAUGAAAUAAUAAUGUUGUAAGUGGUUGAAAGUACGGAUUAAGUGAUAUGUGGUGUGAAAGGUUAUGAGAUGUACGUAUUUGUACUUUUGUUUCCAAUGUGUUAUGAAAUCCUAUGGACAGUCUAUGAAAUGCAUAGGUAUAUUGUGUUAAGAAAUCCUGUGGACGGUCUACGAAACGCAUAGGAAUAUUGUGUUAUGAAAUCCUGUAGACGGUCUAUGAAACGCAUAGGUAUAUGGUGUUAUGAAAUCCUGUGGACUGUCUAUGAAAUGCAUAGGUAUAUGGUGUUAUGAAGUCCUGUGGAAGGUCUAUGAAAUACAUAGGUAUAUUGUGUUAUGAAAUCUUAUGGACGGUCUAUGAAACAUAUAGGUAUAUUGUGAUCUAAAAUCCUAUGGACGGUCUAUGAAACGCGUAAGUAUAUUGUAUUAUGAAAUCUUGUAGACGGUCUAUGAAAUGCAUAGGUGCAUUGUGUAUGAGAAUUAUGGGUGUACGAUAUGAAUAAACACUAUGGACGAUCUAUGAAAUGCAUAAGUGUGUAAUAUGAUAUGUGAACAUUAAGGACGGUCUAAUGAGACACAUUAUUAAUGCAGACAAUAUGUGCCACUUUCGUUGUCCUUGAUUAUACAAGGUGUUUCAAUUACAUUAUAUUAUGUGUUCCACGUAUAGAUCAUAUAGGCAUUCUCUUUUGAAAGAGGAUUACUAGAUAUACAUACUAGUGCUAUUCGACAGUACUAACGUCCCUUUUGUUGGUGGCGCUGCAUCUUUAAUGGAUGCAGGUGCUUCUACAGAAGGUGGCAUUGAUAAGUGAUAGCAGUACACUCUUUUCAGUUGAUUUGGUGAGCCCCACUUUAUUUCGGGGUCAUGUUUCUUUUAUUUCUCAUGUACUUUGUGGUUGAGGUAUAGCCGGGGCCUUUUUGCUGGCAUUUCCACAUUACUCUUCAGUUAUACUUAGAGGCUCCGUAGACAGGUUGUGGGUGGUAUUUGAUGUUGGGAGUUGGAUAAGAACUGUUGGUAUUUGGCAACAUGUUUUUCAUUAAAUCUAUAAACUCAUAUUAUUUUGGAAAUAUUGAAUGAUGCUGUUAAUAGGAAUGAAAUGGAAGCGGUUAAUGAAAUCUUUUCAGUAUUUAAUUAAUAGAGUACAUCUCCUCUUUUCUCAAGGAUGAAUUUGGAUAGAAUGAAAUCUAACAGGCUUUCUAAGUCGGGUUUACUCGGUUGAGCGCUGGUCACGCUCCCCGAGUUUGGGGCGUGACAUGUAACCUUACUAAGCCCGAGGCAGAAAGAACCACCCUCCCCCCCGCUAAGAAUUUUUCUUUGAAAGCAGGACAAACGGUACAAGGAAAUGCUGGAGCACAUUGGAGAAAUGACAGACCCGCCAUUCUCUCAUAACUAUCAUCUCUCUUUGAUUAUUCUAAUUUUUACUCAUAUAAUUAAAAACUAAAUCUCAAAUCAUUUGCAGGUAUUUCGAACCAGGUCGCCGAUGCAAGCUGAGCAUAUUGUAAAUAGCAAACCGUCUGCUCAACCGAGCUGAGCAUGUUGUAUAUAGCGAGCUGCUAGCCCUACCAAUCGGAGCCAUAUAUAUAGCAAACCGUUAACUCAAUCAAUCGGAGCGCCCUGUAUAAAUUCUAGUCAUCAGCUUCGCCAAUCGAAUCCCUGUAUAUAGCAAUUUAUUCGCUUCAUCAAUGGGAGCGUUCUGCACCGCCACUCCGACAUAUUAGAGAUUACCACUAUAUAGGUGAAAACCUCAUCACCAACGUUUUGCCGAUCGACGGCCGCAAUUUAGUUUCGUAGUCAAGAGUAUCUCUUUGGAAUUCCCCUUAUUUCUUUAUUUUAUCUCGAAUGUUUUGACGUUUUGCUCAUGCCGCUUACAGACAUGAUUACAUUUUCAUGACAGAAACUCCCAUCGUGCAGAGAUACGUUGCAUUUAAAUGCAACUACUCCCAUCACGCAGAGAUACAUUGUACAGCUACUCCUAUUAGGCGGAGAUACAUUCUACAUUACAUGUCAACUACUCCCAUCAGCGGAGAUACUCUCAAUGUUAGUAGACUUAAUGCUCUGACAGCAAUGGAAUGUAACACAACCCAGCUAACAAUCGAGUCAAAUUCAAGUAACCCAUCAUCCCAUUAGUGCAUCAUCAUCAUUAGUGCAUCAUUUAUCACAUAUCAUCAUUAGCAUUUACAUCACAUUUUAACAUAUAUGCAUUAUGGUAUAUGGGUAAGUGUAUUUUAUUUUUACGGGAUCAAUUAUCGCGACAUGAAAUUUCUUCUAAGCAGCAAACCAAGAAACAAUGCUAUGAGUGACAACAAACUCAUAAGCGGGCCAAGGACCCGGACUCAAACUCGAAAAUAAUCACUGGAACUCUACUUCUUCAAAUCCUUCAAAUCAAGCAAAAAUUCAAGAGCUAUCAUGGGUACCAAAUCUUAUGUCAUGCAGUUUCAUCAUAAUAUGAUACUGGGGCAAUUCUUGGGAGCAUCGCCUCCUCCGAAUCAUCACUCUAGAACUACAUAAGGCCUGAUCUUCGUUAAGCCCGAAGUAUGUAAAAAUUCAAAGCCAGAAUUCGGCCCCAACUCCCCAAAAUUCUCCCUGAAUUUCCCUUAAACUCCUAAUUCUACAACUCAUAAUCUUCCUUAAAUCUGUAUGCCAUUCAUGCGAUGUAUUCCUAAAGUUGGGGCAAAAUUGGCCUUGGUUCAAUUUCUUUGCCCGAAAACUCUUUCAGCGUCUCCGGUCAAAGAGGGGCAGCUGUUGACGAUCAACUUUGACCCUCCUUUUAAAAUUUAAUUUAUUUACACUUAUUAAUUUCCAAUAUAUGUUAAAAAUAUUUUCUAAUUAAUAAAAACUAUUUUUAAGUAAUUAAUAGUUUUAAUUAGUAAUUUAUUCAUUAUAUAAUUAUAAAAAUAUUAUCUUUACUAUUUUACCAUUUUUUAUAAAUAUUAAAAUAAUUUUCAUAUUCAUCACAUAGGUAUAUAAUUAUUUUAAUAAGCUAUUCCUCAAUAUUUGGCAACACAUCCUAUUAUUUCAAAAUGAACUCGGAGUUACUGUAGUAAAUAGGAAAAUAUGAUAUUUGGUAACUAAUUAGUUAUUUAUAGUAAUUGGUAGUAUAUUUAAUUAUUAUAAUUUCUACUGCAUUUUGUUGGAAUUAUUUAUGUUUAAUUAAAUUAAUCUUUAAAGGGAUGAAGACCAAAUGGCUACAUUUACAAUUGUACAAUUAAAUACAAAGGGAUUAUUCUUUAAAAUAUUUUUAGCCCAAUAUCCAAUCCCAAACGUAUCUGAUCCAGUCCAAAUGCCCCUGUAAUCCACUUUGGCGAUUCAAGACCCCCCCCUACACCAAUCAAAACUCGCCAUUCCCCACACCGCUCACAAAAGAAACCCAAUCAAUCUCGGCCUUCCAUCUCUCAGAUUAGCGGCCCGUGUUUAUCCUUAUUUUCCCCUUUAAUUUUAAUACUCUGUCAGAUUCAAUCUUAACCGUCCAAAUCCUAGAAUCCAACGGUAUUAAUAAUACACCAUUUUAAUUAUUUAAUCUUUGAUUUAUUAGGACCGUUGAUCUAAAGAUCCGACGGCCCAGAUCUCUUCAACCCGUUUAAGCCCCUAGAGACCAACCUAAUCCCCUCAAACCCUAAUCAUUAGUCUCCCAGACUCGGCCACCCCCCUUUCCCCUUCCUGUCUCUAUUCUCUCAAAUCCAAGACCCCAUAAAUCCCAAAAACCUUGCACCAAAUUGUGCAAGGUUGUAAAUAAUGACUUCAAAUCAUCCCUUGUGCCUUCUGACUCCGUGAAUCUCGCCAAUGUCUCCUUAUUUCAUCAUAUGAAUUCGAAAUCUCAAGUUUUUUGACUUAGACUCGAAGAUGAAACUUCAAAUCUUCAAGAUCUUCUUGUGAUGCAAACAAAUCAGAGCAUGCAUGAGCAUCUCAUUAUGUUUAUUCGAAAUCGGAGGUCAAAUGCAAUGACCUAUGGAUUUUCAUUCUUCGUCCGAUGGUUUUUAGUAUGUUUGGUUGAGGUGCCGAUGGCCUCGGGUUAAUUUCGGAUGAUUGUCGGAUUGAUUUGAAGUUAGAGAGGAAUGCUGAAGCUCACCAGCUUCUAGUGUAAUCGCACCUGCAUAGUAGGGAUCGCAUGUGCAUUCUCGCAGAAGCGAGAUGGGAGCCGCAGAAGAGGCCAAGGAGGAAGUGAUCAGAGGUUGCAGGUGCGAUGUUAUCUUCACACCUAUGUGAUCACAAAUAUGAUGUUAAGGGUGCAGAAGUGGAGAGCUAGUAUGUGCGAUGGGGAGUUCCGCACCUGCGGAUGCGCAAAUGCGAGGCAAGGACCGUAGAAGAGGAGGCCCAGCUCCAAUGGUUCACCGUAGAAGCAGAAGUUUGGCAACUUCUGUGACACCGUAAAUGCAAUUAAGUGUCAGCAGAAGCUUAAAGGCUGGACAAAAAGUUAAAUCCAAGGAUCUGCAAUUUUGGCUUCAUUUCAAACAUUUCAUGCACGGUUUAGGCGAUGUUUGAGAGGGUUUUGAGUGGAUUCUUGAGGUAAGUCCCUUGUGCUCAUUUUUGAUCAAUAAUAUUGCUUCCCCAUUGAUUUUUCCCACCUAGUUGGUAUGUAUUUAAGGUGUAAAUUGGGAGUUUGAGGCUAGGGAUUUGGAGGGUUCGAUUUGGGGAUUUGGGUGACAAUUUGGUGUCGAAUUUUGAUAAAUUUGGAAUGGACAUACUCGUGGUUGAGUGGGAUUUUGUGUUUUGUGACUUUUAUUGAAUUUCGAGACGUGGGCCCAGGGUGGCUUUUGAGCCAAUUUUUUAUUUUGAUUAAUAACUUAGUAAUUUCUUAUGGAGUUGAUUCCUUUAGCCCGUAUUGAUUUUAUCGCAUUGUUUGUGGCUAGAUUCGAGGUUUGCAGAGGCCAUUUCGCGAGGCACGGGGGUGUUGGAGUACAAAUUUGCUCAUAUUGAGUUAAGUAACAUUUCUAAAUUUCGUUCUGAGGGUACAAAACCCCGUAUUACGUGUCAUGUUUUUGGUUUUGAGGAGACACACAUACUAGGUGACAGGCGUAUGGGCGUGCACUGUAGGAAUUGUGACUUGGUCAAAUUUCGUGGAAAUGUGUAGUUGUAUAAUAUUAGAGCCUAGGUUACAUAGGUCUCACGAGUCAUGAUCAGGUUUAGUAGAGUCUUGCAGAUCGGUAUGAAGACGUCUGUACUUAUCUUCGAAAGGCCACCGAACCCAUAGGAAAUUUCACAUUCUUGUAUUCUCAUCGUGCAGAUUUGUUGUUUCCGGUAACUAAACGUCUGUAUUGUAUUCUAUCCCAUAUGGUGAGGACACGUGCUACCGGAUAGGAUGGACAACCACUAGUACCACCAGCUAGGGCCACGAGAGGUCGAGGUCGCGGUAGGGGUCGCGAUAGGGGUAGAGGUGCAACUCGUACAACAGCUAGAGCAGUACCUGUAGAUCCAUCAAUUACUCGAGCUCAGGAGUAGGUUCCACAUGUAGUUGAGACAGUGGAGCCAGCUUAGGCACCAACUGUGCCCAUUGUGAUUCCAGACCUUCAGGAGGCGUUGGCCCAGGUGUUGACAAUUUGCAUUGGUCUUGCUCAGGUGGUUUUGGCUCAGGCCGCACCAGCCACUUCUCAGGCCCGGGGAUGGACUUCACAUAUCGGAGGUACAACCCGCCCAACCAGUUACAGCUGCUCAGGCCCUGAUGGUCCCAGUUAUGGCUGAUGAUGAGUAGAGGAGUCUUGAGAUAUUUGGGAGGCUCCGGCCUCCAUCAUCUAGCGGUGCUGAGUCGUAGGAUGCCCAUGUCUUCUUCGACAAGUGCCAGCGGAUGCUUCGUACAGCAGGUAUUCAGGAGACUAGUGGGGUCGCGUUCACUACCUUUCGGUUAUCUGGGGCUGCCUUCCGAUGAUGGGAGGCUUAUGAGAGGCACAUGGCAGUUGGUUCAGAACCACUUGCAUGGUAGGAGUUCUCCAUUCUCUUUUUGUAGAAGUUCGUGUCGCAGUCUCACAGGGAGAAGCUACAUAGACAGUUUGAGCAGCUUCGGUAGGAUGGUAUGUCUAUGACCCAGUACGAGAUGAGUUUUUUUAAGUUUGCUCAUCACACAGUUUGGUUGGUUCCCACUAAUCGGGAGAGGAUCAUGAGGUUCAUUUAUGGACUCACGUAUCAGUUUCGGUUUCUUAUGACUAGGAAGAAGGUAUCUGGUGCAAAUUUUGAUGUGGUGGUUGACAUUGCUCGGCAGCUAGAGAUGGCCCAUAGCUAGGAGCAUGGUAUAAGGGAGGCUAAGAGGCCUCGAGGUUUGGGCGGUUUUUGUGGUGUGCCUUCUGAGGGGCAGUCCUACCACAGCAUGGGUCAUCCUUAUAGGCCCGCUCAGACGGCCCGUCUAGCUCAUCGUGGUGCAUCAGCUAGCCACGGUUCUUACAGCACUCACUCAAGCCGGUCUUUAUUCUGUGCACUACCAGCACAGAGUUCUCACCAUGCCUCAUCCUCUCAGGUUUCUGCAGGUAGUUCUGCGGGUUAUCAGGAGUAGCAUUUUCGUUAGAGGAGAGGUUAUUUCGAGUGCGAAGACUUUGGUCAUAUCAAGAGAGAUUGCCCUAGGUUGUUGAGUAGGGCUCCCCAACAGAGUUCUCGGCUGAUGGCACCAGCACCAACAGUUACACCACCCACUCACCCAGCUCAGGGUGGGGCUCAGUCUAUUAGGGGUCGCCCUAGAGGGGGAGGUCGCUCAGGUGGCAGUCAGGCCCGAUUCUAUGCUAUCCUUGCCAUACCAGAUGUUGUUGCCUCCGAUGCAGUGAUCACAAGUAUUGUCUCAGUACGCCACAUGGAUGCUUCUUCAUUAUUUGACUCUGGUUCCACAUAUUCGUAUGUAUCAUCGUAUUUUUCUCAUUAUCUGGAUAUGCCCCGUGAGUCCUUAGUUUCAUCUGUUCGUGUAUCUAAGCCAAUGGGCGAUACUAUUAUUGUGAAUCAUGUGUAUCGAUCAUGUGCAGUUACUAUUGGGGGAUUAGAGACUAGAGCGGAUAUUGGGUAUGGAUUGGCCGUUUCUAUGUAAUACUGUUAUGGAUUGUCAUGCUAAGACCGUGACGAUGGCGAUGCCGGGGUUGCUAAGUAUCGAGUGGAGUGGUUCUCUAGACUAUGUUCCCAGCAGAGUGAUUUCAUAUUUGAAGGCCCAACGGAUGGUUGGGAAGGGUUGUUUGUAUUAUCUGGCCUUUAUGAGGAAUAUUGGUGCUGAUUCUCCUGCUAUUGACUAUGUUCCGGUGGUGCGUGAUUUUUCGGAGGUGUUUCUUGCAGACCUGUCGGGCAUGCCGCCCAACAGACCUGUCCGGGGAGCCUCGGGUUGAUUUCGGAUGGUUGUCGGAUCGAUUUGAAGUUAGAGGGGAAUAUUAAAGCUCACCAGCUUCUAGUGUAAUCGCACUUGUAGAGUGGGGAUCGCAUGUGCGUUCUCGCAAAAGCGAGAAGGGAUCUGCAUAAGCGGCUAGGGAGGAAGUGAUCAAAGGUUGCGGGUGCGAGGUUAUUUCCGCACCUGUGUGAUCGCAUAUGCAGUGUUAAGGGCACAGAAGCAUAGGGCUCGCAGGUGUGAUGGGGAGUUCCGCACCUGAGGAUGCGCAGAUGUGAGGCGAGGACUGCAGAAGCGAAAUGUUGGUCGCUUCUGCGACACCGUAGAUACGGUUAUGAGUCUGCAAAAGUAGAAAGGCUGGAUAGAAAGUUAAAUACAAGGAUUUGCGAUUUUGGCUUCAUUUCAAAUAUUUCAAGCACGGUUUUGGUGACUUUUGAGAGGGUUUUUGAGGGGAUUCUUGAGGUAAGUCCCUUUUGAUCAUUUUUUAUCAAUAAUAUUGCUUCCCCAUUGAUUUUCCCCACCUAGUUGGUGUGUAUUUAUGGUGUAAAUUGGGAGUUUGAGGCUAGGGAUUUGGAGGGUUUGAUUUAGGGAUUUGGGUGACGAUUUUGAUAAAUUUAGUAUGGAUAGACUUGUGGUUGAGUGGGCUUUUGGGUGUUGUGACUUUCAUGAAAUUUCGAGAUGUGGGCUCGAGGGUCUGACUUUUGAGCCGAUUUUUGAUUUUGAUUAAUAACUUAGUAUUUUCUUAUGGAGUUGAUUCCUAUAGCCUGUAUCUAUUUUAUCGCAUUGUUUGUGGCUAGAUUCGAGGCAUUCAGAGGCCGUUUCGCGAGGCAAGGGGGUGUUGGAGUAGAGAUUUGCUUGUAUUGAGGUAAGUAACAUUUCUAAAUUUGGUUUUGAUGGUACGAAACCCCGUAUUACAUGUCAUGCAUUUGGUUUUGAGGAGACACACAUGCUAGGUGACGGGCGUGUGGGCGUGCAUCGUAGGAAUUAUGACUUGGUCAAAUUCCAUGGAACCGUGUAGUUGUAUAAUAUGUUGUUAUCUGUAUAUUCUCCAUGCAGUAUAGAAAUUAAACCACAAAUCAUGUUAGAAAUCACGUUUGGACUGUGUGUUGGCACUGUAGGGACCCGCAAAGGUCGUGUACAUGUUGAAUUAUCUGCUAAAUUUUUCUUUUGUACUCGAUCACAAUUUUACUUGCUUAUUAUAUCUCAGUCUCUAUUGUUCCUUGUUGAUACAUUAUGUCAUUUCUAUUGGGGCUGACUUUCAUGACUAGAGCCUGAGAGACUAGAGAGAUUUAUGACUGAGUAAGGCAGAGGGCCCGAUUAUGAGAUAGUAAUACUAUAGCACGUCAGUUGUCCGUGCAGAUUCAGAUAUUAUACUAUAGCACGUGAGUUGUCCGUGCAUCACGUGAGUUAUGCUAACCCAGGGGCAUCCGGUCACGGCGGUUGCUAAGUUUUGGUGUUCAGAUUCUCAGAGACUAUCGAGGUAGUUGCUUGGAGUUUUGCAGACCUUGUUUCUCCUUCACUAUCUUUCCACUUAUUGUAUUUAGUUUCAGACUAUUGAUGGUAGGCUAUAAUUGCAGGUUUUAGCUGCUUAUCGCACUCUAAUUUACUGCACUUUAAUUGAGUUGAGCUUUAAUCGCUUGUGUUUUACACUAAUUAUAUAUUUUAUGCCUUGUAGGAGUGAUUCCGAACUAUAUAGAUGUUAUAGGGUGAAUUCACGCUAUUUUGGAGCUUUAAAGUCUGAGUAAAAGCCCAAGGCCUUAGUUGGGAUCGAGUUUGGGGAUCAACUGACACUAGUGCAUUCAAAGAGAGAGACAAAGAAUCGACCCGGGUGUCACCCAGGUGCGCAAGCGCGAACUGGAUGUGAACUGGGCGCACAUGUGAGGCAGUGUAUUGUGCAAAAUGCGCGACCAAGUGUGCGAGCACAUCUCCAGGUGUGUGGCCGCGCACGUCCAGUUUAGGGAGAGUCCUAUUUCGUGAAUGAGAAGGUGUGUUUGUUUGGGCCCGACCCUACUUGAUAUAUAUACAUGGAAAAUGGUAUUUUGAGGACUUUUGACACAUCUAAGACCUAAGCAGGCUACGGAGAAGUGGGAGAAGCAAGAGCACAAGGAUUUCAUCAUUUAAUCCUAACUCAGGACAAGGGUUUGAAUUGUUUUAUGUUUUCCUUUAACUUAAACUUAAUUGUGAUGAAUUACUCCAUAUCUAUGGAGUAGUUCUCUUUAGGUAUUGAUGGAUUUGGUGUAUUGAGAAUUGUUUGUGGAUAUUACCUCAAGUUUUUAUGUAUUGAAUCAUUUUUGGGCGUUUUAAUUAUUGCAUCUAUUUUCACAUGUUCAUGUAAUCAAAUGAGGCAUAACUUGUGAUGUUUUUGCAUUAUCUUGUUGGUUAAAUUCAUUGAUUUUUCUUUGUAAUCGAAAAAGGAUAGUUGAAUUAUUGUUUAUACUUAGGAGGAAAAUCAAAAGAGGUUCUCCUAAAGACCAAUCCACUAUCUUAACCGAGCUUAACUUAGUUCUUAUUGUGAGGUUGAGAUUUAAUCGAGAGAGGAGAUUCUACUGAACGCUUGAACCAAUAAUAGAGUGAAUUCGAGAGACUCACUUGAACCUUAGAAGUGAAUCGACUAGAGUAAAAUCCUAGACAAUUAUCUUGCACCUAUCCAAUCAACCCCUUAUUUUCUCCCAUUGAUAUCUUUCCUUACUCAUUACUUGCGUUGAUUGUCAUUAGUCAAUAGUCUAGACUUUUAGUAAAUUUUAGUUUUAAAUGACACAAAUCUAAAUUGUCGAUCAUCUUGGAUAGCCAUUAAACUAGAAGCUACGAAAACACUGUUUCUAUACUAUAUUCGACUAGCGAGCAUAUUCAAGUGUGUAUUUUAAGCUCGUCAAUUUAGGCGUCGUUGCCGGGGAUUGGCAAUUAAUAGUAUUUGAAAUAGUUUAUAGUGCUAAUUCAGGAAUUUUUCUUUUUAUUUUAUUUUUUUCUCAUUUUACGUUUGGUGUUACUUGAUUGUGCACAGGCUACAGGUUAGAUUGGUGUAUGACUCGAUCUUCUGGGAAGGAAGUACUCCCAUACAAACCAGAAAUCGAAAAACAACUGCGACAGUUGAGGAAGGAAAGAAAUCUCUCCGAGAAUACAGAGAAGGUAGGGCAAUCCUCAAGUAAGGAAGUUAUGGCGGGAGAUGAGGAUAAUAUUGAUUUGGCUGCGAGGGAGGCAUACCAGCAAAGAGAAAAAGUUGCACGAGAUGCGAAUGAGACAGCUCUUUAAAAUACACAACUUGUCUUUGAGGAGGAGAGGGAUCGGGAAUGACUCGAAAUCAACCUUUUGAUUUAACAUAUAUGUAUUACGGUAUAUGGGUAUCGCGACAUGAAAUUUUUUCUAAGCAGCAAACCAAGCAACAAUGCUAUGGGGGACAACAAGCUCAUAAGCGGGCCAAGGUCCCAGACUCAAACUAGAAAACGAUCGGUAGAACUCUAAUUCUUCAAAUCCUUCAAAUCAAGCCGCAAUUCAAGAGCUAUCAGGGAUACCAAAUCUUUCGUCUCGUAGUAUCGUCAUAAUACUAUACUGGAAAAAUUCCUGCGAGCAUCACCUCCUUCGUAUCAUUACUUCAGAACUACAUGAGGCCUGAUCCUCAUUAAGCCUGAAGUAUGUAAAUAAUUCAAAGCCAGAAUUCGGCCCCAACUCCCUAAAAUACUCCCAGAAUUUUCCAUAAACUCCUAAUUCUACAACUCAUAAUCUUCCUUAAAUCCAUAUGCCAUUCCUGUAAUGUAUUCCUAAAGUUGGGGCAAAAUUGGCCUUGGUUCAAUUUCUUUGCCCGAAAAUUCUUUCAGCGUCUCCGGUCAAAGAGGGGCAUCUGUUGACGAUCAAUUUUGACCCUCCUUUUAAAACUUAAUUUAUUUACACUUAUUAAUUUCCAAUAGAUGUUAAAGAUAGUUUCUAAUUAAUAAAACCUAUUUUUAAAUAAUUAAUAGUGUUAAUUAGUAAUUUAGUCAUUAUUUAAUUAUAAAAAUAUUAUCUUUACUAUUUUACCAUUUUUUUAGAAAUAUUAAAAUAAUUUUCAUAUUCAUCACAUAGGUAUAUAAUUAAUUUAAUAAGUUAUUCCUCAAUUUUUGGCAACACAUCCUAUUAUUUCAAAAUGAACUCGGAGUUAGUGUAGUAAAUAGGAAAAUAAGAUAUUUGAUACCUAAUUAGUUAAUGAUUGUAAUUGGUAAUGUAUUUAAUUAUUAUAAUUUCUACUGUAUUUUAUUGGAAUUAUUUAAGUUUAAUUAAAUUAAUCUUUAAAGGGAUGAAGACCAAAUGGCUACAUUUUCAAUUGUGCAAUUAAAUACAAAAGGACUAUUCUUUAAAAUAUCUUUAGCCCAAUACCCAAUCCCAAACGUAUCUGAUCCAGUCCAAAAGCCCCUUUAAUUCACUUUGGUGAUUCGCGUCCCUCUCCCUACAACAAUCAAAACUCGCCAUUCCCUACACCACUCACAAAAGAAACACAAUCAAUCUCGGUCGUCCUUCUCUCAGAUUAGCGGCCCGUGUUUUUUAUCCUUAUUUUUCCCUUUAAUUUUAAUACUCUAUCAGAUUCAGUUUUAACCUUCCACAUUCAAGCAUCCAAUGGUAUUCAUAUUGCACCAUUUUAAUUAUUUAAUCUUUGAUUUAUCAGGUCCGUUGAUCUAAAAAUUUGACGGCUCAGAUCUCUUCAACCCGUUUAAACCCCUAGACCAACCAAAUCCCCUCAAACCCUAAUCAUUUGUCUCCAAGACUCGGCUGUCCCCCUUUCCCCUUCCUCUCUCUAAUCUCUCAAAUCCCAGACCCCAUCAACCCCAGAAACCUUGCACCAAAUCGUGCAAGGUUGUAAAUAAUGACCUCAAAUCAUCCCUUGUGCCUUCUGACUCCGCGCAUCUCGCCGAUGUCUCCUUAUUUCAUCAAAUGAAUUCAAAAUCUCAAGUUUUCAGACUUAGACUCAAAGAUGAAACUUCAAAUCUUCAAGUUCUUCUUGUGAUGCUACAAAAUCAGAGCAUACAUGAGCAUCUCAUUAUGUUUAUUCGAAACUGGAGGUCAAAUGCAAUGACAUCUGGAUUUUUGUUCUUUAUUCGAUGGAUUUCUCACCUGCAACGGCAUUCUUCCACUCAAGUAAAACUCCUACGAUUUUUCCCUCUAAUCUUUUGAUUUUCACUCUUUUUGCUCGCAUAAAUAAACCCUCCGUCACUCUCCAGUAUCGAUUUGACUUUUUGUUGAACCCUAAGGCAUCAUCGGCAAAUAUAAAUAGGAGCCUUCAAUCCCCCUACCUAACACGACCUAACACACAACACAACAUACAAAACAGAACAGAAAGCUUAAGAGAAUAAAAGCCCUAAACUUAUCACUGAUUUUCUUUUCCUUCUCCGCUGUUGAGUUCGUCUACUAUUCGAGCUUGAGUUCGGAUUCUUAACGGCUAAACAAGAAGUUUUUGCUUGGUUUGCUGUUCCGUAGAAGGUCAGUGUACACUGACCCUCCCUUUCUUUUGAUCAUUCUUAUUGUUCUAUGAUAUAUCAUGUUUUCUUCUGUUGGUUAUUGUCAUCCAUGAUGCGUGUUAGUUGUUUUUGAUUGAUUAUUAGGUUCCGCUCUUAUGUGUUAUCAUUAUUGUUUGAGUUAAUCAUCUCCUAAUAAUUUGUGUUAGUAUGGCGGGUUAAUCUAUGUUAAUGAACUUCAUGACUUAAUUGGAUAAAUAGUUGUUAUUAGAGAAUGACAAAAACUUUUCUGAGCUUUUUUCAUUGCUUAGAAAUCUUUUAAUGAUUCUAUAUGUGUUUGUUAACUGUAAUACCAUGUUUAGGUAGCUUGAUCAAGCAGUAUUCUUUAAACAUCUCUUGAUAUCUCGUCAAGGGUUGAUGUCUGCUACAUUUUUGCUAUAUUGUCUCUUGAAGAUAAGCAAUGCUAUAUCAUUUGUCAACAUUUAUUUUCCUCAUGGUAUCUAUGUUAUACCGACGUAACUUGUUUGCUUAGAUUGAUUAAUCUGCUAUUGAAACCAUGCUUACCUUAACAUGUAAAACUCACAUGAUUUUGUGACUUUUACUUCUGUGGUGGAUUCACUAGCUUAGUUGUUGGAACAUCUGCUCACUUUAUAUGUUAUGUAAGCUUGCAAACCUUUAGAAAUACUACAUUAUAUAUAUAUAUAUAUAUAUAUGCCUGGGUUGCUUCCCCUCGUCCAAUAUGCUUCUAUGAUUUUGAGACUUCUUAAGAGAUUACUAUAAAGGUGCUCUUGUCCGCUUCUUUGGUUAUGUGAUCAUAUCUAUGAAGGCUCACCCAAAUGUAAAUAUGUCUUGAAAUGAGACUGGUUUAGGUUCUAAUGAAUUUUUGUAGUUAAUAUGAAGUUUGACUACUACAAUUGAUAUAGACCGAGCAUGUUUAGAAUUGUCUUCAAGGACCUGAUUAAGAGACAAAAUUUGGUUGAGAGUUAUAACUGUUGUAAAUGUAUAUCACCCCUGAACUAACCAUACGAAGUUAAACUUCAUCAUGCUUGAGCUGAUGCAUUCACCUGUGUAACUGGCCUACUUAUCUUGCUUCUAGUAUCCUACUUAUUCCAUGUUAAACCUUCUUUGAUAUGAACUUUUGUACUGAAUUUGUUUGCCUGACCCUAUGCUCUAUCAUAUUGUAGUCUUACACUCCUUAGGGACAUUUCUUGUAUGUGUUUGAUUGUAUGCUCUUGGAUAUUUGUACUCAUUCCUGUUAUCAAACAGACAUCUGCUUAUCUUUCAUACUCAUGCCUAUGUUCUCAGAUAGCCCUAAAACAUAAAGAAGAUUGAACCUUGCUAAGUUUGCAUAAGUCAACUAUGAUUCAUUUGUGAAUUUGAGAGAGUCUUCUGAUGAUAUUUGUUCUGCUUAAGUACAAUAUUAUGCCUUGACUCUUAAUGAACCAAGUGAGAAUGUGAUAUCAAGAAUCUUUUAAGGAGAAAGUAAUCAUCUAUUAGAGUUGAAACCAAUUUGUUUGCUUAAAUACUCAUGUUAAUUCUCUUUAAAGAUCCUAUAUGAAACUAUUAACCCAUACGCCUAUUAAAACUUUAGACUUGAUAUGUGCAUGCACACCUUAUUAACUUAAGCUAGAUUGUUAAGUUUGAGGACCUUUAUAAAUUUGAACUAUGCACCUCUUCUGCUUUUUAUGUUGCCCGACUCAAUGAUUUGAACCUUUGAAAUAAUCUACUAUUGAUCUUUUCCCUUAAUUGUACUUGUAAUUGUUUUCUAUGGACAUUAUUCUGCAUAUUAACGAUUCUUAACAAUGAACUACACAUUGGUGUUUGGAUUGUGAUCUCUUUAAUGUUAUCUGUUAGUACAUGUUCACAAUAACAUUCUAUGUAGUUACUGCUGGAAGUACACAUGCCUAAAUCUUUGAAUUAUUGUUACAACUGUAUUGAAAAUUACAAAUAAAUGCCUCAUUGACAUUUAAACCUAUAAAGAGGAGUAAGUAUGAGUGGUUAGGGGUAUUUAGGAGUGAAAUUUAAUUUGUGGUUCAGAUACUCUCCCUGACACAAUCAUUGCUCGGGGUCCUUGAGACCCUUGUAAAUUUUGAAGUGCUAGGGGCUCAAAGGGUGUAUUGGCUAUAAAUGGAAUUUCACCUUAAGCCCUUAAUCAUUGACAUUUGAUAAUCUCUUUAGGGUUAGUGUCUAAUAAAGAAAUGGCUUCAUUGUAAUUUUCCUUACUCUGUUUGAUUUUACACAGUUUCAUUUACAUUCUUAACCAUCAAUAUCUGUGACAGUCUCAUUUGGGCCUUGUGUUUGAUCUUAUCUGCAUUUAAACAUUUUGUUGGGCUUCAACACAAAUUUAUUCCUUUUUCUCUUAAGCAUGUAACUGAACUGGGCCUGUUGAGGUUUUAAGAACUCAGGCCCAAGUUCCAGCUUUUGAGUCUAAAGUCAGGGGAGCCGCUGCUUCUUGUCCGCUAUUCGCUGGGCCUAACCUUCUUCAAGCCCAAAUUACUGAGUCUAGUUCCUUUUCCUUCCUCGUUGUUAGAUGAAUUGAAUCUGUUAUCUUUUUCUUUACAUGUGUAUAAUACUAACGAUAUUGAUUGAAUGUUUUAUUUUUCUUAAACCUUUUAGGAACCUUGGCAAGACAAGAUCCAUAGGUAAUAAAAGAAAUCACUGUUACAUUACAAUUAGCCAUAAAAUUUUGGCACUUUGAUCAUUUAUUUAAUAAGAUUUCAUUUUUAAUCACGCUAACCAUUUUAAUGGAAUUCUUUGAAGUUCAAAACAAAUUUGAAAAGCAAUGCAAUUCUUCUAAAGCCGGAAUUGAAAAGGUAGAUUUGAAAAUUAGUUUUUCUUAUAAACAAAAUUAACACGGUUGGAAUCAAGGGUUAUUAAACUUUCAACAAUUUGUCUUCAAACACGUCUCUACCAAUUGAAACAAAUUACGAAAUGUAUAUUCAAGGCCCAUUUCUAAUAGUCUUUACUGUACUAGAAUUUUAUAAGUAACCAUGUUAUAAAGUAUUCAAAUAUUUCCACAUCUUACGUCUUUCAAAUCUGGUAGGUGUAAAUGUUAUAAAGACAUUUUUUCUAAUCUCUUUAAUCAUGUAGAUAUAAACAUUUUAUGAGGCUUUUACAAAUUAAACGUACAUCCUCUUUCAAAGUACAUAUAUUAUUUUAUUUCAAAAUGAUAAGUUUCUAAAAUAUAACAUAGUGUAAUUCACACAUAUUUAGCACUAGCUAAAGUAGAAUAUAGACGUUCAAUUCCCCGAACCUAGUCUAUGCCCUAUGGAGCUACCUCAGGUAGAUUUUAGGGGGUGCCUAAAACAUUCCUCUUAGAAGAACAAGAACCCUUACCCAAAUCUCACUGGUUCGCAGACUAAUAGGAUAAUGAUCUUAAUAAUUAAAUAGGUACCCUAGUAUACCUUUAAAUAUUAGGUGGCGACUCUCUUUUAUCAUCAACAGGAAAAUCACUAGUUGAAUCUUGUUUUGACUCGUUUAAAAUAUGGUGCAACAGAUACAAUGAAGGAAACAUGUAAAAUGCAUGAAAAACAUAAAGAAUUCACCUACAUAAUAAAAAAUAGCACCCUCCGUAAUAACAAUAUCCAACCUUAUCACUUCGUAAUAACAAUAUCAACCCUCAUCACUUCGUAAUAACAUUAUUCACCCUUAUAUCUCCAUACUCUAACACAAUAAUAGUAUCAAUCACAACCGCAUGGCAAAACCCGUGUGCCAAUGCCCAAUAAAUCUGCCCAACAAGUCUACAUGUGCCAUAAUCACAAUAAUACAAGAUAAAAAAUUAUCAUCAAUAGGCAUAUCAUCAUAACUCAUCAAUAAAGUGCACAAGGACAUUGUCACACCCCAACCUCGGGAGGUGCGAUCGGCACACGACGCCUGAAGGCCUGUGCAAACUAAAACCAACUGUCGUGAUGGCGCCUAUCGUGGAACUCGGCAAGCCAAUUACUCAACUAUUCCAACAUAACCAAAAUAUUUGAAAAAAUAUGGAAGAAGUUAGUAUUUAAGGAAAAAUCUUUGAAAAUAGAAAAAUACGCAACCCAAUAUAAUCUCUCCCAAAACCGGGGUGUCAUCGAGUACAUGAGCAUCUACAACAGAAGAUAGUCUAAUACUGAAAUACAUGUAAUGAUAACGAAGGAGGCUCAAGGUCUGCGAACGUCAUACAGCUACCUUGAUAGUCUCCCGAGAUCCCGACUCUACACUCAGCAGCCGCCGUGACCGGAAGCACCUGGAUCUGCACACGAGGUGCAGGGUAUAGCAUGAGUACAACCAACUCAAUAAGUAACAACUCCAAACUUUGGACUGAAAGUAGUGACUAACUCAACCAGCACAACUCAAUAUAGAAGUAACAGUGCAUAAACGUAGGCAUGCUUUUAAGUUCAGCAGAUAAACUCAUAACAGUAAAAUAGAUCAAACCUAAAUGAUAAGAAGAAUAUAACUUCUCUACUCCUACAUGCCAAUGCACAUGCUGUAUGUGAUGCACCAUGUUGUCAGCCUCAUAUUCUCACACUCUCAUUUGCUCAAUCACUCAGUACUGUAUAUGGUCUAUCCGGCUCGAGAAAGAUCAAUCCCUGAAUAUAUACAUCGACUGACCAUCAGUCAUCCAGUACUGAGUAGGGCCAAUUCAGCUCGUGGGGAAGAUCCAUCCCUAGCUAUAUAAUGCUUCGGACAAGAUCCAUGUCCAGGGAAGAUCCAUCUGAACAAAAAUACCUUCUAUGCGAACGUGAAUCAACCACUCGUGAGCGCGAACCUUUACUGUCCUCUUUCAUCGCAAACGCGACCGCACCUCCGCGAAGGCAUAGACCAAAUGCAUGGGGUCCCCAGUUGCCUCUUCCCUUCUUUGCGAACGCGUUCCUCAUCUUGCGUUCGCGAUGCACUCUCUGUCCAACCUCCGCAAACGCAUCCUCUUCUUCACGAAUGCGAUGAGAAAUAUUUCCUCAGCCUCCAGAUGCACUUCGCGAACACGAGACCAUUCUUGCGAAUGCAUAAGAGAAAACCAGAUCCAACCAAAAGUCAGUAAACUCAACUUCAGCAAUCUCCCAACUUCAAUUCUUGAUACGUUAACCACCUGAAACUCACCCGAGGCCCUCGGGACCUCAACCAAGCAUACCAUCAAGUCCCAAAACAUCAUACGAACUUAGUUGAACUCUCAAAUCACCUCGAACAACAUCAAAAACACGAAUCACACAUAGAUUCAAGCCUAAUGUACUUUGAAUUUCCAAAUUUCUACAACUGACGCCUAAACCUAUCAAAUCACGUCCGAUUGACCCCAAAUAUUUCACACAAGUACCAAAUGAUACCCUGAUAUCAAAAAUCCCACUCCCGGUCAAUUUUCCCAAAAAUUGAACUUUCUCCAUUUUAAGCCUAAUUCCGCUAUGGACAUCCAAAUCACAAUCUGGACACGCUCCUAAGUCCAAAAUCACCCAACGCAGCUAACGGAACCAUCAAAAUUCAAAUCCAGGGUUGCUUACACACAAGUCAACAUCCGAUCAACUUUUCCAACUUAAGCUUUCCAUUAUGAGACUAAAUGUCUCAAUUUAUUCUGAAAUCUUUUCGGACCCGAACCAACUAACCCGAUAAGUCAUAUAACAGCUAUAAAGCACAAAAGAAGCAGUAAAUAGGGGGAUGGGGCUACAACUCUCAAAACGACCGGCCGGUUCAUUACAUGAAAUCACCUCUUCGGUUCGCAACUUACGAACUUGACGAUCUCGGAUAGCCAUUUAGAUUUCCUCAUAAGUUAGGUCCUGUAUAACAUGGACAUUUUCCAUGGGGGUAAUAUAAGAGCGAUCACCCAAGCAAUUACGAAGCAUGGACAUAUCGAACACCAGGUGCACCGCUCCUAAUUCGGGGGGCAACUCAAACUUGUAGGCUACUUGACCGAUUUUUAGGGUAAUCUGAUAUGGUCCGAUAUACCGAGGACUAAUCAUCCCUCUUUUGCCAAACCUCGUCACGCCUUUCAUAGGCGACACCUUCAGGAAUACCCAGUCUCCCACAUCGAACUCUAAAUCUCGACGCUAGUUGUCCAAGUAGUAUUUUUGCCUGCUUUGAGCGGUCAGUAAUUAACAUUGAAUCAUGUUCACCUUCUCUACAUCUUGUUGCACAAAAUCAGAACCCAAUAACAUUUCCUCGCCAACCUCGAACUAGCCAAUAGGGGAUCUACACUUUCGUCCCUAUAGAGCUUCAUAUGGUGCCAUCCAAAAUCUAGAAUGGUAGCUGUUAUUAUAGGCAAACUCAAUGAGUGGUAGAUGGUCUUCCCAACUUCCUUGGAUCUUAAUACACUGGCUCGUAAUAUGCCCUCGAGCGUCUGAAUGGUGCAUUCAUCCUGACCAUCUAUCUACGGGUGGAAGUUGUGCUAAGAAUGAUCUUUGUACCCAAUCCUCUUUUGAAGGAUCUCAAGAAGCUAGAUGUAAACUUAGAACCUCCAUCUAAUAUAAUAGAAAUCGGAACUCCAUGAAGUCGAACUAUUUCCUUAAUAUAUGACUUAGCAUAAUCCUCAACCGAGAAGGUAGUCUUGACAUGUAGGAAAUGUGUUGACUAGGUGAGUCUAUCCACAAUUUGAUUUAAACCACUAGUAAAUAGACCCAAACCUUUUCAGAUUACUCAUGACCCGCCAUCAUGGCAACACUUCUCUUUUCCAAUACACUAUGGACCUCAAUCAAAAUUCAUCCUAGGUGAUCCCAACAUGAAAUCUCGUCGUCCUAAGACUCAUAAGUCACUUUAUUCUCUCAUGUACACCCAAUAGUACCUCAUAUGGAAAUACCUUCUCUGAAGAGGCCUCCUAUGAAUCUGAACUUAUUUCAUCCAUCUCCCAAACACUGCAUCACAGAAUUGAUAACAAUACAGAAAUUCCCCAAGCCUCUCUCUUAAUCCAACAUCAAUCUCAACUCCUCAGCCACACAACAAAUCUGCAAAUCCUUAGGUACCACAUCUUGAACCCACUAGAACGGGCAUCAAAAGUCACCCACUCUGACUCAGUCCCGAAUACGCAUAUGAUCAUGCUGAAUGACUAGUGCUCUGACAACACAUGAAUACUCCAAAAGAAGAACUGAGUGAAUCCUUUCCCUUUACACCAUAUCUACAAAGGACUAUCCAACCUAAGCCAUUCCACAACCUCCACAUAAACACCAUGUGAAAUAUAACAUGUCUCCCACAAAUUCCUUGCCCAAAUCAAUCUCGAUGUAAUCCUUAUGAGCCAUAACAAAUCUACAAGCGCAUCGAAGUCCGGGACUGCAAUAACACAUGACCAUGUCAUCCAAUCGUUGAUAAUAGGCUCCCCCACUUAGCUUUAAGCCACAAUCACAUAACACAAGAACUCAUGAAGACCGUUCCUCCUUAGUUUUCAUGACCUCACACUAUUACUCCGCUGAAUUUUUCAUAAGCUCAUGUUGCACUAUCCAUAAGACAUCCCAAAUUAUCAUCCCAAAUGCAUACUCAACCUCAUAAGAUAUUGUACAGCCUCUAGCCUUCGCACAGGAGAUAGCCCACCUGUGUAGUCCCAAGCCUUUCUAUGACCUUGCCAUGGGCACCACCACUAUGUAAUAAAUUGAUUCUCCUAGGUCUACACUCGUGCACAUGCCACAAGAAUCUGUUUUAUUUCAUCAAUGAAAAAUCAAAAAGUCCAUCAACACAUCUAAAACUCAAGACCGUAUAGUGCACUAACAUGAUAAUCAAGCAUUCACGUUUCCUUUGUAGCUCAACCAAACCCUUAUUAUAAAAUUCAAACCCUCCAAAAUAUUAGUCAUCAUCACCAAAAUAAAAUGCACAAACUUAGUCAUCUGUUCACAAUGACGAAAAUCGCACCAACCUUCCUUAAAGCCCGUGGCUAUCCUACCACAAAGUACAUAAUGAUACGCUCUCACUUUCGCUCGGUUAUAGCCAUCCUCCGAAGUAAACCUCCUGAUCUCUACUUCUCACACUUGAUCCGCUAAUAAUUUGACCACUGCGAGACAAUUCCAAUAAGGUCCUCUUCCAUCCUCGCCACCCAUAAUGCUUCCUUGAAUCACUAUACAUCUUUGUAUUAUCCAUAUAAACAAAAUACCACAAACUAUGAACCUCUUCAGGGAUCAUCUCCGUCGAACCAUCAAUACUAGAAACACAAAUCCGACCCUGAAGUCGCAACACAUUGACACACCAAGGACUACAUCCUUAGCACCACCAUACUAAGGACAACCAAAUACAGAUCAUCAUACUAAUGAGCUUUGUUGCUCUAAAAUAAAUACAACUGUGAAACCACACAAACAAGAACUCCACUAUGCUCUGAAAUGUCCAAUCUCCAUAAAUCAAGGUCGGAAUAUUCAUAGCCCAAGUGCCUCUCCUGUGUUUGAAUAAAUGCUAAGCUCCAAAUCAUGAGCCAAAUAGUUCUCCUCACAGGGCUUCAACUGCCGUGACAUGUAAGCAAUCGCCAUACCACUCAUCACUAACACAAUACGUGAAGCAUCACAAUAAGUUGUGCAAGGCCCCGAACCUAUGGGCAACAUUAACACUGGGGUGUCUAUAGAUGGAAACCCCUCCACUAAGCGAACAUAGUAGUCAGCCUCCAAAUAGGGGAAUAACAUCCCAGACCACAUGUGAAAUACCACCACAAAUCACUGUAUCUCAACUGAUAUCAAGUUCUCAACAUCACUUACAAACAAGUAGGAGGGAACGGAAGAUAUAGGUUGCAAGUCCAGAUAAAGUCGCACGAUAAGAAAUCAAGAAAGGAAAAUUUUCUAAAAUUAUGUAGAGCCUCUAAGAUAAGUACAAACAUGUUUGUACCGAUUCACAAGACUCUAUUAGACCUGCUCGUGACACGUGAGACUCUUAGAACCUAGUGCUCUGAUACCAACUUUUCACGAUCCAAAAUCCCAUCUCAGGUUGUGAUGGUCCCUAGCCAUACUUGAUAAGCAAGCCAACUCACAAUCAACAAAAUAUAAUCCAGAUUCCUUUAGUUAACAAUCAUAUCAUAAAUAAUGACAGGAAUGAUCUUGAAAUAGUAUAAUAUCUAAUGAAAUCAUAAUAUGGUCUGAACAUGACCAAAAACAUUAUAACAUGAACUAGGUUACACAAGAAACUACUGAAUACAUACAAGUCUAAAUACAUAAACAAAACAAUAUGCGAGAAAGUUAAACUUAGAAAACGUGGCAUACAAUUCCUUCUCCUUCAAUGUCUGGAGCACAAUCCUCAAAUGCCGUUCAUGCUCCUUUCUACUGCAAGAGUAAAUCAAGAUGUCAUCAAUGAAGACAAUCAUAAAAGAGUCCAAAUAAUGCUUGAACACUGUGUUCAUCAAAUCAAUGAAUGUCGUUAGAGCAUUAGUCAAAUAAAAUAACAUCACCAAGAACUCAUAAUGAUCAUAAGGAGUCCUGAAAUUAUCUUAGGGAUAUUUCAAGCCCUAGCCUUCAAGUGAUGAUACCCAAUCUCAAGUCAAUCUUAGAGAACAACUUAGCACCCUGAAGUUGAUCAAGCAAAUCAUCAAUACAAGGCAAUAGAUACUUGCUCUUGAUAGCGACCUUGUUCAACUGCAUGUAAUCAAUGCAUAUCCUCAUAGUACCAUCUUUCUUCUUCACAAACAAUACAGGUGCACCCCAAGGAUAAACACUCGAUAUAAUGAAUCUCUUAUCAAGAAAAUCUUGCGACUGCUCCUUCAAUUCCAUCAACUCUAUUAGAGCCAUGCGAUAUGGUUGAAUAAAUAUAGGUUGUGUGCCCAGAACAAAGUCAAUACCAAACUCAAGCAUACCCAAAAUAUUCAUAGGGUACACCUCAUGAAACUCUCUCAUUACCGGUACCAAAUCCAUGAAAGAAACCUCUAAAAUAGAAUCCCGAACAAAAGCCAAAUAUGUAACACAUCCCUUCUCAAUCAUACACUGAGCCUUCAGGACUGAAAUCGCCUUAUGUGUAGAAUGACCAAGUGACCCUCUCCACUCUAAUAUAGGCUAUCCUGGCAUAGCUGAAGUCACAGUAUUGGCAUGACAAUCAGUGAUAUCAUGAGACGAGGAUAACUAAUUCAUGCCAAGAGUCACCUCGAAAUCGACCAUGUCCAACAAUAAGAGAUCAACCAUAGUAUCAUACCAUCAGUAGUAACCACACACGGCCAAUAUAGACAAUCAACCAUAAUAGAAUCUCUAAAAAGUCUAGACAUAUAAACAAGAAUAUUCAAGGAAUCACGUGGCAUGUCCAAAUAUGAUGCAAAGUAAGAUGACACAUUGUAACGACCCGACCGAUCAUUUUGAGAUUUAGCAUUUUGUUUGGUGGUUUGAUGUCUUGAACAUAUUCAAAUUUUGUAUUAUGACUUGCGUGUAUGAUCGGUUUUAGUCCUCGAGCAAUUCAGCAUUGAUUUGGAAGAAUUAUUCUCACUUUAGAAGCUUAAGUUGAAAGAGUUGACCAAAGUUUGACUUUAGUAUAAACAACUCUGGAAUAGAGUUUUAAUAGUUCCAAUAGCUUUGUAUGGUGAUUUUGGACUUAGGUGUAUGUCCAGAUUUGGAUUUGGGGGUCUGCUGGUUGGUUUAGUGCUUUUAGUAAAACAUGGAAAGUUGAAGGUUUGGAAGGUUGAGAGGUUUGGCUGAUAGUUGACUUUGUUGAUAUCGGGCCCGUGUCAUGGAUUCAAGAGUUGAUAUAGGUUCGUUGUAUUAUUUGGGACUUGCAUGCAAAAUUGGAAGUCAUUUCGAGUUGAUUUGAUAUGGUUUGGUGUGCGUUUUAGAAGUUGAAAGUUCAUUAGUUUAUUAGACUUGAAUUGAGGUGAAAUUCAUGGCUUUGAUGUUGUUUGGUGUGAUUUGAGGCCUCAAGCAGGUACGUUUUAUGUUAUGGGACAGGUUGGUGUGACUGGACAGGAUCCCGGUGGCCUCGGGUGUGUUUCGGAUGAGCUACGGGCCAUUUCCUCUUGUUUUGGAUUGCUGUCAGUUGGGUAUGUUUUCUUCAUUGUGAUCAUGACUAAUUAGUCGCGUUUUCAUAGAGUAAUUUGAUGGUAGGCGACUUUGCGCAUCGCGUUCCUGAAUAUAGGGAGUUGUGGCCUCCACGAUCGCGAGAUAGAUGAUGCGAUCGUGUAGAAGGGAAGCUGCAUGGCAUUAGGUGUUUGUUCUCCGCGUUGGCGGAUGUACUACCGCGAUCGCAUAGUUGCUGGAAAAUUUUUCACCACGUUCACGGGUGGACUAUCGCGAUCGCGUAGGAGGUUUUGGAAGCCGAGCAUUUUGUUCGUCGCGAUCGCGAGGGUAAUUCCGCGAUCACGAUGUGUUUCAUUGGGAAGAUUUAUAUAAAAUACUCUAUUUCGAGGGCUUUUGUUAUUUUAUCACAUAUUGAGCUAGAGAGCUUGGAUUUGGGCAAUUGUGGAAGGGAUAUUCACGAUUAGGAGUGGGGUAAGUAUUCUUGACUCAUAUUUGGUUAUAUUCCAUGAUUCCAUCUUUGUUUUUGGCAUUUAUUUGGUGAAUCUAAGUGGGGAUACUUUGGGAUUUUAUAAAAAACAUCUCCAAAUGAAAAAGGUGAUUUGAGGGUCGAUUUGAGGUCGGAAUUAGAUGAUUUUUGUAUGGUAAGACACGUAUCGGAAUGAGUGUUCAAAAUUUGUGAGUUUUGUGGGAUUCCGAGGUGCAUUCCCUCGGAAUCAUUCCCUACGGCUUUUAUUUGUGAUAUUAAGUUAUUCUUGCUAGAUUCAAGCCAUCCGGAAAUUGUUUCACAUGGGAAGGGCUUCUUAGAGUAUUGAUUUAGUUUCUUUGAGGUAAGUCUAUUGCCUAGCCUUAUGUGAGGGAUUUGGUUUAAUUGUAUUUAUUGAAUUAUGUGAAAGGCGUGUUUAUGAGGUGAUGAGAGUGUACCGGCGCUUAUAUGUGGUAUUUGAUCGGUAUAGACUCUUAUGCCUUUAAUUGAAGUUGUAGUUAUAUGGGACACCAUUCGCUGUUGAUUUAAUUCCCAUUUCAUUUUUUUAUUGUUGAAACUAUUGUAUACUUUGUUGUUGAGACGUGGGCCAUGCUUUAUUGUGAUAUUGGCAUUUUUGUUUUGGCCAUGUUGUGGCAUAUGUGGACAUGUUGUGGGGAUUGCUUGUUGUUGUGCGGAGCAUAAGGGUGACAUUUCACUAUUGUUGAUUUUGUGUAGUGAUACGGGUGGCUAUUGUGUUAUUGUCAGGGCAGAGCGAUGCGAGUGGCUAUUGAUAUAUUGUCUGGGCGGAGCGAUAUGAUUGGCUAGUUAUAUAUUGUAAGGGUGAAGCGAGACGGGUGGCUAAUAAUAUAUUGUUUGGGCGGAGCGAUAAGGGUGGCUAUUAUGAUAUUGUCAAUGCAGUGAGAUAAGGCUGGCUAUGUGGGGAUGAUAUGUGAUGGUCUGAUGGCGUGUUGUUCAUGAAAAGGGGUAUUCUUGCUUGUGAUCAUGAAUUCCUUGUGUGUGUCAUGCAUAUUACAUGAUUUGUUGUGUUGUUCCCAAUGUGCUACUCGAUGUUUCUGAUAUUACUUAAUGAUUUGAGUUGUGCUAGUACACUCGCACAUACAUACAGUGUAACAUGUCAUUUAUACCAGUCAAGGAGGAUGAAACUUGAUGUUCAUCGAUCAUGUACAUAUUUUUUUGUAUAUUUGCUUUCUCUGCGAUGUGGUUUGGACUAGUGGCAUGUGACAACGCCGGGCGGAUUUUGAUAUUGAUCCUGUGACCACGUCAGAAAAAUUGUGAUUAUUGGCACAUAAGUUGUCCAUGCGAUUGUGACUUAGAUUGUGGCACAAGGUCUUAGCCGUGUGACAAUGGUUGAUAACAUGGGCAUGCGGUGCCGUCUAUACAAGAUUUUUGAUUUGUAAUUGUGAGGUCUAGUACCUCGGGGUGUUUCUGGUUAUGACUCUUGAGUCAAACUGUUGAUGAUUAGAAUUGUCAUUGCUUUCCCUUUAUUGCUUUCACUGGUAUUUUACUUACGCUUUGAUUAUUUUGUUGUUCAUUCACACGAUUUCCCUUCAUUCCUAUCUCUAUGUUUUGUUUUCUAAUGUUAGCUUUAAAUUGAUAUUGUUUACAAGUUAUCUGAUUAGUGAGUGUCUUGACUUGAACCUCAUCACUACUCCACCGAGGUUAUCGAUUGUGGUCUAUUCAUGCUACAUUUAUUCACAUUGUUUUGCAGAUCUGACUACUUCAGACUGAACUGGUUAGUAGUGAGGCUUUACAUAUACCAGAGACUUCAAGGUAUCCCUGUAUGAUCCGACCGAGGGCGUCAGAGUCACCCUCUUGUUUCACUUCUGUUGUUUAUGUAUUUCAGACAUUACUUUAUUUUGAUAUUGUUCUCGUGUAUUCAAUUCGAGCUUGUGACUCUGUACCACCUAGCUAUGGGAUAUCAUGUUGAGUAUUUUAUGCUUCGUCCUGUAUUACUCUUAUUUGCGCUUGUAUGUUAAACCUUGUCUCGUUAUUUCAUGCUUUUAUUGUUCUAAAUAAUGUUUAUCAAUUGGGUUACCUAGUUUAGAGACUAGGUGCCAUCACGACUCCUAAGGAAGGAUUUUGGGUCGUGACAAGUUGGUAUCAGAGUUUUAGGUUCAUAGGUUCUAUGAGUCAUAAGCAGGUUUAGUAGAGUCUUGCGGAUCAGUAUGGAGAUAUCUAUAUUUAUCUUCGAGAGGCUAUGUAACUAUUAAUAAAAUUCCACUUCUUUCAUUCCUAUCGUGCAGAUUUAUUGAUUUCGGAGUUUGAGCCUUUGUAUUUUUAUUCUCUUACAAAUGGUGAGAACACGCACUACCGAAUCCACCGAAAAAACACCCGCACCCAUGCUAGAGCCGUGAGAGGCCGAGGUAGAGGCAGAGGAGGGGCACGUGCCACAGCUAGAGCACCUGCUAGAGCAGCAACUGAGGAGCCAACAGUAGCUCCGAUUAGGGGACAGGCACCAGAGGCAUAUGUUGCUACCCCUAGGCUUCAGGAGACUUUAGCGCAGUUCCUGAUCAUGUUUGGUACAUUGGCUCAGGCAGUGUUGAUCCUAGUUUCAUCAGCUACUUCACAGACUGGGGGAGGAGCUCAAACUCCCGCCACCCCUACUCCAAAUAAGUAGGCUUAUGUUGGUUAGGUUUUGGGUGUUAUGCCGGUACAUCCCGUUAUUCCGAUUCAUCCUGAGGUCAGGCCAAUGGAAUCAGAGGAGGAGUAGAAGAGGCUUGAGAGGUUCAAGAAGUGUGAUCCUACUACAUUCAGUGGCACAUCUACCUAGGAUGCGCGUGAUUUUCUAGACAAGUGCCACCGUAUUCUCUGCAUCAUGGGCAUUGUGGAGGUGAGUAAAGUCGCCUUUACUACAUUUCAACUGUCAGGAGCAGCAUAUAGGUGGUGGUAGGCAUAUGAGAAGGGCAGGCCAGAUGAUGCAACGCCACUCACUUGGACUCAGUAUUCGGAUAUGUAUUUGAGAGAGUUCAUUCUAUAGACCCUCGAGGAUGCGUGGCGCACCGAUUUUGAGCAGUUUCAUUAGGGGACUAUGACCAUGUCUGAGUACGCUAGGAAGUUCAGUGAGUUAUCUUGUCAUGCACAUAUUUUAGUUUCUACCGUUAGAGAGAGAGUUCACAGAUUUAUUAAGGGGCUCAGCUAUGGUCUCAAACAUAGGAUGGCACGGGAGUUGGAGAUCGAUACUCCAUUUCAUCAGGUUGUGGAUAUUGUCAGGAGGUUAGAGCGCAUCCAGGGUCUAGACAGGGAGGAUAGGGAGGCCAAGAGGUAUCGAGGUCCUGGAGGAUUUAGUGGAUUCUACUAUUUGGCUCAGACCCAUAACGACGGAGGCUACGUUUAUCAAACAGAUCAGUACGCACUUCAGACUAGUCGUGGUAAUCCAGCCAGUUAGGGACCUCAGGGUACUCAUACGGGGCAGUCAUAUUUUAGUGCACCUCCUGCAUAGGGUUCCUAUAGUGAUUAUUCCAGUUAUCUGGCACAGACUCAGUACUAGCAGCCACGCCCAUAGAGGGGUUGUGUCACUCCCCGACCUUGGGGAGCACGACCGGUGCUCAAUCGAGAUAUCCCAGUCAAGCAAGCAUGCUUGAUGCCUCCUACCCAACCUUACUCAUGAACAACUUAAGAAUCAAUAACAGGAGAUAGACGAGAGAGGAUUAAAAAAAAAA